GUCAUUUUGCUUUUUUUACACAGAUCGUCCCAUGCAAUGUGAGGUUAAAAUUCAACAAGCUGACAGGAGACAUUGUGACAUUUGAGGCUCCUGGGGAGGGGGCGUACACUAUGAAGGUCGAGAAAGGACGCAAUAUGUCACAGAUUGGAGGAGAUGGAUGGGGCCGUUUCCUCGCCCGCAUGCGUCUUCCUGGUGGUGAGUUUACCAGCUUCUCCUUCAGAGCAGAAAGACCCAAGCUGGCUGUCAUUUAUAUCAAGCUGGUGGAAGAUGAUGAACAUGACGAAGAUGAUGAAGAUGACGAAGAUGAUGAGGAUGACGAAGAUGAUGAAGAUAAUGAGGAUCCACUUGAUGAAGAUGAUGAGAACCCACUUCAUGAAGCCAUCGUAGCUCAAAGAAUGAGGCUGAGCGAGGAGGAGGUGUGCAACCUAUGGGACAUAAUUCCACCACGUGAUGACUUUGUCGGGGUGCCAUUCGUGACCCGCCUGACAAGUACAAUGGUCGAUCGGCAUGAAAUGGUAUGUUAUACUGAUUGUAGUAAUUUGAUAAUAUAUAUAUGCUUUAUUGUUAUACUUACAAAUGCAAAUUAUCCGAUGUAUGCUUAGUGAAUCCGAUGAUAUGCUUAGUGAAUCCGAUGAUAUGCUUAGUGUAGAGUACAAUGAUAUGAUGUGUGGAAUCUAGUCGAUGAUAUGUGUUAGUGUAGAGUCUGAUCACAUGCUUAUUAGUAUAGAAUCCAAGGAAUUAUUAAUAGUGUAGAUAAUCCAUAUAUACUUAUUAGUAGAAUUCAUGCUUAAUUAGUACAAAUGUGUAGUACUGUGUCUUUUGAUAGUGUAGAAAUUUAUACUUAAUAGAAAUAUAUUUGCAAGAGUAUUUGCGAGACUAUUUAUUAAUUGAUAUGUUUUUCUUAUUCAAAAAUUGUCAAAAAACCUAUCUGUGAGUUGUGGUAUCGGGUCUGAUGAAGAAGGCUCAGCUGGACUACGCCUUACUGCAAAGGGCUCCGUCACCACCUGUACUUACCGCAUGGACACGGACGGUCGCACAUACUUAAACUCGAUUGGGUGGAAGAGAUUUCUCGUUGGCAAGAAUCUUCAUGUUGGACAGGCCAUCCUAAUUACUAUCAGGAACACCCACCGCCCAGGCUUGAGGAUGAUGAUCGUCGUUGAUAUCAUCUAGAACUACAUAUUUGUGUGUGGCUAUAUCAUCUAGAACUACAUAUGAUGAUCAUCGUCAAUAUCAUGUAGAACUACAUAUGAUGAUCGUCGUCGAUAUCACCUAAUACUGCUUGAGGAUGCAUGUUGACUAUAUAUGAAAUUGUUAUCUAGUACUCCCUCCGUUCCAAAUUACUCGUCGUGGUUUUAGUUCAAGUUUGAACUAAAACCACGACGAGUAAUUUGGAGCGGAGGGAGUACUACCUACUACCUAUAAUGCUUUAUGAAAUUGAUAUAUAGUAGUACCUAGUAUCUGGAAACUGCAGUUUAUUGAAACUGAAACGGGGUAGGAANNNNNNNNNNNNNNNNNNNNNNNNNNNNNNNNNNNNNNNNNNNNNNNNNNNNNNNNNNNNNNNNNNNNNNNNNNNNNNNNNNNNNNNNNNNNNNNNNNNNNNNNNNNNNNNNNNNNNNNNNNNNNNNNNNNNNNNNNNNNNNNNNNNNNNNNNNNNNNNNNNNNNNNNNNNNNNNGGGGGGAUGAUGAAAGAUAUAGCAGUAGCGCGGGGCUAGGAAACCGCUACAGCUAAUUAAUAGUAGCGCGUUCCGGAAAAGCGCUGCUGAUAUAGUCAAUAGUAGUAGCGCAGAUAUAGACCGCGCUACUACUAAUAGUUAGCUGUAGCUUCGUAAUAGUAGCGCGGCAGACCGCGCUGCUAAUAGCCUCAAAACCCACGCUACUAGCGUUUUCCCUAGUAGUGUUUGGCCACGCUGGCGACGAGAGUGCCAGCCCUUCCACUUCCAUCGUGGGCCCCACGUCCAUCGACCACAGAUAGGUCAUGAACUCCGAUGAGGAUGAGUACGGCAUGGGAGCGAUAGAGCAUUGUGUCCCAACUGGGUUGGUCCGUCUCUCAUGUUCUACUCUUCCUCACUGGCGACCAUACCUUCACUUCGUGGGUGUUAUUGCCGCCAUUCAUGGAGACAACAGAUGGUGGAAGCAUUCGCAGGAAGAACAAGGACUUGGACGACAAACACCGUUGUAAGCUAGGUUUAGGUCCGACCCCUUUUUCCUUAAGGACAAUUGUUUGAAAUGUAAUGAAUUUCGUUUGGUUCAUAUGAAAAUCGUCCAGUUUGCAUGUAAUUCGUUUGGUUUAUUCAAACUAGGCUUGAUGCGAAUAGCUUUGGAUGGUCGCCUCCCGCAUCCGUGUGCGCGGACUCCCCCCCCCCCCUCCUCCGGUCCACGGACAGAUGCGGAAGAAUGCAACGUCUCGAUCGCCUGUGGUGAGAGCGGUUUUUUUGUACAUGUUAAGGUUGUCCUACAGCCUGAGCUCGGCGUGCCCUACUUUGCUCACUUCUGGCAAGGACAACCAAAGUAAGGUAUACAUAACGAAGAUGGUAAUUUCGGCACCCCAAGCAAUGAGAGUGACUGGUUGUAAGAGUAAUAGAAACUCCUUUUUUUUGUAUUUUUUUUCAAAACUAUGUUAUUUUUUGUAGCAAUUUCGGAAACUAUAGGACGUAAUGCAAAAAAACCAAACUAGUAGCCCGUCGGCCAUUCUUUGGCCGAAGUAGUACUUUUCGGCCACAGUUUGGCCGAAGUAGUACUUUUGGGCCACAGUUAGGCCGAAGUAGUACUUUUCGGCCACAGUUAGGCCGAAGUAGCAUUUUUUGGUCAACUCUAGGCCGAAAUAGACUUUUUGGUCAAGUCUAGGCCGAAAAGUCAUUUUUUGGUCAACCCUAGGCCGAAGUUGCAUGGCUCAUGCUGAAAUGUAUUUUGUCGCCACCCGUUUCCCGCCCACCCCUUCCCACCAUAUGUUUCCGCCACCCGUUUCUCGCCAACCCCUCCCCGCCAAUCCCUUNNNNNNNNNNNNNNNNNNNNNNNNNNNNNNNNNNNNNNNNNNNNNNNNNNNNNNNNNNNNNNNNNNNNNNNNNNNNNNNNNNNNNNNNNNNNNNNNNNNNNNNNNNNNNNNNNNNNNNNNNNNNNNNNNNNNNNNNNNNNNNNNNNNNNNNNNNNNNNNNNNNNNNNNNNNNNNNNNNNNNNNNNNNNNNNNNNNNNNNNNNNNNNNNNNNNNNNNNNNNNNNNNNNNNNNNNNNNNNNNNNNNNNNNNNNNNNNNNNNNNNNNNNNNNNNNNNNNNNNNNNNNNNNNNNNNNNNCCUUCCCGCCUUAUUUUCCCGCCAAUCCCUUCCCGCCUUAUUUUCGCGCCAAUCCCUUCCCGCCUUAUUUUCCCGCCAAUCCCUUCCCGCCAACCCUUUCCCGCCAUACCGCAGUUAUUCUUUCCCGCCAUUUUCUCCUCUGUAUCUAUAAAACCCCCUUCAGGCGGAGGUGGAUAAGCAUUCCAGUGUAGUGUAGUCGAGAUGUCCCAUUAUCCAUUCGAUCGUAGUUUUCACCCUGAGAUGAGCAGCACUCUGCUGAGUCUAGCUACCGAUUUCAGGAUGGACAAUAGGAUAGUUCCAUGGGACGAACUCACCGGUAGUGACACCAUAAUGAAUGAGUUGGCUCACCAAUUAUGUAGGUCUGGGUGGCCUGAAAGGACCUAUGAGGAGGUACGUCAAGAACUUCUUAGGUUGCAUGAAAGGUGGAAGAAGGUGGUGGAGCCGAAGAGUGAAACUUUCAGAAGGACUGUAGAAAAGCAUCCAUUUUUAUGGACUGAGGAGAGCGAGGACGACGAUGAUAUCUUCAUGCCGCCGCUUCCGGGUUUUGCAUCAUCGAAGGGCAAGAGUUCUGCAUCAUCCAAAGGAAAGAGUUCUGCAUCCGCGAAGGGCAAGAGUUCUAUAUCAACCAAGGGCAAGAGUUCUGCAUUGACGAAGGGCAAGAGGAGCGCAUCGUCGAAGGGCAAGAGGGCUGCAUCAACGGAGGAUGACGAUGAUGACUUCAUGUAGUAUGUAAGAUGUAUUCCAGUUGUACCGUUUCAUUCAGAUGUAUUUGCAUUAUUAGUUUGUAUUGUAUUAUUGUAGGGCAUUAUGUUCUAUCUGAAUUUUAUUUUGUAGUAUGUAAGAUGUAUUGCACAAGUUCAGUCGCGCCGUUUAAUUCAGAUGUACUUGUAUCUUAAUUAUCGGUUGUAGUCUAUUUGGAAAUGUAACUGAAAUAAGAAUGCGAAUUAAUAGUAAUAUGUCUCUUGCAUACAUAAAACAAUAUAUGUCUCCUGAUCACAUGGAAGCAAGUGCGAUAGUAACACAUACAUGAAGCAUGUCUCAUACAUAAAUACUGACACACAGCUGCGAAUAGUCUGAAACUAACAUAGAUAAUGAGUCAUACAUAGAUAGAUAAGCAUAUCACUGCGGGGGACGACGACGAGUCUGGGUCUUCCUUGGGCGAGGAUCGGAAGGCGAUAAGCGCUGAGGCGGUGGACGAGGCUCGCGAUAACCACGACCAUAGUUAACCUCGUCUGUCAUGGUCUAUGUCUCCUGCGUCGGUGGUGGUGGUGGAGUGUGAAACACUGUCUGCGAGAAGCCAUAAAUGUUUGUAGCUUGGUCAUCAUCCUCGCGGUCGCCCUCAAAGUAUGAAGCACCACCACUAAGGAUCGGUGACUGCUCUGAAUGCAUGAAUGGUUGCAACUGGUUGCUGCCUGCGGUAAAGUAAAAUUGAUACAAAUGCAUGAACGAAGCACCACCAAUAAGCAUCAGUGACUGCUGAGAAUGCAAGAACGAUUACUACAUUGUUCAAAAGAAUGUAGUGAGUAGUGUUACCUAGAUUCAUCUGCUGAUGCCAGUAAGCACUCCCUAGCUGUGAAGGAGGUGGCUCAUGCCAGGAAGAGCUCCUUGGCUGUGAAGGAGGUGGCUCAUGCCAGGAAGAGCUCCCUGGCUGUGAAGGAGGUGGCUCAUGCCAGGAAGAGCUCCCUGGCUAUGAAGGAGGUGGCUCAUGCCAGGAAGAUCUCCCUGGCUGUGAAGGAGGUGGCUCAUGCCAAGAAGAUCUCCCUGGUUGUGAAGGAUGAGGUUCUGCACGGUGCACAGAGGGUCGUGGUUCUGAACGGUGCACAGAGGGUCGUGGUUCUGAAUGUUGUACAGAGGGACGUGGCGGACAAUGUGCUGGAGGAGGAAGUGCAACAUCCGAAGUCCGUCUACAUGUAACAGCUGCGUAAAUCCCGCGUAGCUUGUCAUCAAGACGCCUCAACCAUGAGACGCCCUCUCGCGGUGGGAUAGUUUCUCCCCUCUGAAAGCGCCGCAUUAAAGCGGAAACCUCCUCUCGCGCCUGUAGUGUCAAGUCACCCUGUACACAAAGAGUGAACCAAUUAUAUCCUUGUUGUAUGAUAGACACCACGAAUAGACAACCAAGCGAAUAUGUCUAGAUUAACAAAAGACUUAACAUAUGAGAACCAAGGCAUUUACCGCGUGGUGUCUGGUUCCCACAACAGAGGCAGUUGGGUACAUAUCGCUGGUGAGAGGGGCUUCGAUCUGAUCAGGAGAAGCUGAUGGAACCAAGUAGAUCCUCGUUGUAUGCCGGUAACGCUGCAGAUACAACCCGAACAUUUCCCAGUUAAAGGGCCGAACCUCACCCCAGAUAUUUUUCACAGCGGUAGUCCAUUCGUCAAUGUAAGGGGUAAUGCUCUGAAGCCAAUAAGCCAUGGACUUGUUUCCUCCUAGGCGACUGUCCCUGAGAUUGACAUGCGCGAUACAUGAUUAGGUAUAUUAUGAAUGCAGAGCUGCCAACUAAAAUAGUAUUAGUACUUACUUGUGCACGUGGUCUGGCAAGUGUGGAAUAUCUGGAAUCUCAAGCUGUUGAUAUAGACCGAACUGUCUCAUCACCCUAUGAAGAGACAUCUCCUCAACCGUCACGUCGAACACCAACUUGGCCUUGGUCAUCCAAAAGUGCCGAUCUCUAGUGCACAAUCCAGAAAUCCCAACUGGGUACCUCGAUGAUAUAGCCUGAGGCGAGUAUGGCUCCCAAAUAACUUGAUCCUCGUGCAAACUAUCAAACUGCGCCAUGAAGGACGGGUAGCAUCCCCUAACCUGAGUAUGCGCAAACUGUCUCUGUGCAUGACAACAAAUAAGCAUUAGUAAUACUAUUGAAUGGCAAGAAAUAAUUGAAUUAAUUGUUACUUAAUAUAAAAGUACCUCUCGCCGUGUCCAAACAGAUCCCAUAGUAGGUAAGUUGCCGAUAGCAGGCACAUAAGUCCCAGCUAAGUCCUCCAAACCAAAAGGUUUAUCAACGUAGACAUAGGGUCGUCCAAUAGGGAACCUCUCGUAUGACCAAAGCUGCAACAAUAAUGGACAUCCAACAAGACUAGAUUUUCUACACUUCAACAAGCAAGCUUUGCACAGGCCUCUGUAUGUAGCCGCUAACACAGCAGAACCAAAACUCCUCUGUAGAAUAUCCGCAGGGCAACGUGCUUCAGUUAUCUCUCGUGCAAUACCGAUGAGUCGUGCAUCGACAGUGGUCACAUGGUUCUCCGUAAACAUUGUCUUGCCGAACAGCCAAAGAAUAUAUGCCUCUAGGGACCGGUCAAUCUGUGCCUCCGACAACUGAACGUCGGGAUGUCCUAACGAGACAAUCUACAUAGAAAGUAAUAAUUGUAUGAACAUCGAACAACUAAAAAACAACAUUUGUUUAAGUGGCUGUGAUGGUUAUGUGAAACUGGCUCAACCAUCUAAAAAGAGGUCCAUGAGGAUCGUUGUCUAUAGCCCUAGCAGUCGGGACUGCAGCAAAAAAACAGGUCUACAUCGCUGCCUGCCACCCAGAUUCUGCCUCUAAGGGACCUAUGGCAGCACCGGCCAGACGUAAUCCCAACAAGUAAGACACAUCCUGUAAAGUAGGCUCCAUCUCUCCCCAAGGAAAGUGAAACGUAUGUGUCUCUGGUCUCCAUCUAUCUACUAAGCAGGUAAGGAGUGACUUGUCGUAAGAGAAACGUUUCACUUGCCUCUUGUGUAACUGCAAUGGUUCACCUGCCUCAUCUAAGUCCAGACCAUCAAUCCACUCAUUCAAUGUACCCUCAACCAGCUGUGCCAAGGGUAGAAGUCCAGCCCAACUUAACCUACAAAAUAAAGAGAUUGUUAGCGGUUAUGAAAAGUAUGUCAAACAUAGUAAGUCAUUAUAUGGUCUCCAUUAUAUGCACACAUACCUAUCAACCCAUGAAUCGUGUAUCAGCCAGUUAGUCUUUGGCGUACGAGUGACCAACACGUCUAAGUUGUUGCCCGCUUCCGUAAGGGCGCCCCGGUGCUUUCUAUCGAUGUUACCAUUAAGCAACGGAUAAGACAUAUCUGCAAUUCAAACAACAAAUCUCAGGUGCAAAUAAAACAUAGUACGACAUAUUAUAAAUUAUAACAUAGUCCUGACAUAUUACGAAUUAAAACAUAGUCCUGACAUAUUACAUAUUAAAACAUAGUCUUGACAUAUUAAAAAUUAAAACAUAGUCCUCACAUAUUACAAAUUAAAACAUAGUCCUGACAUAUUACAUAUUAAAACCCACUACGGCACAUUAUAUAGCUCGUGAGUUAUUUCUUCCUCGUCCGCCCCUUCGGCCUCGACUGCCACGACCACGUCUGCCUCUUGCUCCUGUUGUCGCAGCCGUCGAUGUGGAAGCACUCGUCGAUGCGGAAGCACCAUCUUUGUUCAGGUCGGGACAAUAUUUCAUCCUAUACCCAUAAGCCGCGCAUAACAAACAUUGUCUGGUUGCUCCACUAGCUGCAGACUGGUCCAUAUCGUUCCGGAUGCGACAGGCCUUUCGUCUGCCCCUACUUGUUCGCCGAAGGUCUGGAUGCGGGAUGUAUACUCUCUCACCGUCGUUUACCUUGUUGAAAUUGCCGACGACUCUAAACCUUGUCAUCUUGCCUGUCCAGGUGUUGAGCACUGCCUCUUUUAAAUAGUAUGGGGACACGAAGGAUAUAGCAUCCAACUGAAUCUGGCCAUAGGCAGCCAACACAUGAGAGCAAGGUAGGCGCAACAACUUCAGUUUGUUGCAUGUACACUCACACGUUGAAUAAAAUUCUGUUCCAAUUUUUACCUCGUGUGUCUUCACCUCAUUUCCAGAGCCAAAACCAUCGGUAGGAAGCUGAACCUCAUACCUCCUUUCUUGAUUCCCUAUGAGUCUGACACUGUGCUUCUUUGCUUUCUCUAUCUUCUUUGCCAUGUAUUCCAUGACACGGCUACAAUAAGGUGUGUUAUGAUUAUCUUCAAUAUGCUUCUUUGCUAACUCGUGCCUUUCUCUGAAAUAUCUCAAAGUGCCAUGGAAUACAGCCUCCACAAUAGCUGUUAGUGGCAAUGCUCUAUUCCCUCUCAGCACAAAGUUAUACACCUCUGCAAGAUUGGUUGUCAUGUGGCCAUACCUAGCUCCAUGUGUGUCAUGCAGCAAAGACCAAUUCAUUGGAGGCUCUUUCUCUAUCCACUCAGAAAAAUUCUUUAUUGCCCUUCCCUUCUUUCUCUUAGUAUUAGGAGGGUCAAUUGCUGGCAAGUCACAAAGACCAAUUGGCUCCUCUAGCUCCGCGAUGAGUGCUGCUAAUUUAACCUGAUCUUCUUCCAUUUUCUUCCUUGCAUGGACCUGCUUCUUAGUAAACUCAUCUAGUUUUGACCAAAUAAAUUCGUAUUUCCGCUGCUGGCUCUGCUUGCAUAAUUUUUUGAACAAGUUCAUCAACCGCUUGUUCUUGAACUGUGAGAAAAAAUUAGCCCCAAGAUGGCGCAUGCACCACCGGCUCUACAAGUCCCUCCAAGGUGUUGGUUCGUCAUCUGCUAGAUUACAAAGUGUCUUCACGGCUUUCAAUAUACCAGCAUGUCUGUCAUGAAUGACACACACGUUUGGUCGGUCCUUCACGAUGGCAAUUUUCACUUGGCGAAAGAACCAUACCCAGCUGAGAAAGUUCUCACCCUCCACAAAUGCCAUGGCAAGUGGGAUGAUUUGAUUGUUCCCGUCCACACCAAUAGCAGUUAGGAUUUGCCCUCUAUACUGACCGGUCAGGAAUGUACCAUCCACAAAUAUAACAGGAGGACAAUGCUGGAAAGCUUCGAUGCACAUAGCAAAAGAGAAGAACACUCGUUUCAACACCUUGAAAUCUGGUAUACUCAGCAACCUCAUGUGUUGUACGUUCACAUAAGUGCCGGGAUUCCUCUCCUUCAGUAUGCCCAGGAGACGGACAACAUUAUCAUAUGAGUCGAAGAACGUCCCAAACCUUUCCUCCAUAGCCUUCUGCUUAGCCCUCCAAGCCUUCCCAUAAGGAAUGACAUAAUUCCAUCUGACCUUCACUGUUGUUUGGAUGUGUUUUGCUUCCAUAUCUUUCUUCUCUACUAUCUCAGUAUACAUGAGUUGCGCAAUGAGACUUGAAGUCAGGUUCGGAUGCUUGACCAGCAGGUUCGUCCUCACACAAUUAUGUGGGACGACAAUGGUGACAACCCAGUGGAUGUCAUACUUCGGCACGUGCCCGUGCACCUUCCCAGGACAACCUGUUACAACACAUUUCACGGUAUAGUUUAUUGGACUUGAUAUGUGUGUCUUGAAAACCCUCUGCGUAGACAUAGCCCACUUUAUCACCGCAUACUUCAAUUUUUUCUUUGUAUCAAACAUAGCCCCUAUUUGUACUUGGUUCAGAUUAUACUGCCAUGGAGUCUCAUGGCCAUCGUUCACCGUAAGGCCGGUGGAUAUGUCCUGCUCCCAUGCAGAAGGAAUCGGUACCUCAACUUCAUCCUCAGAAUUUUCAGAAUCCAGUUCCUCCACCAAUCCAUCCUCGUCCUCUUCCUCCAUAACCCUCUGCAUUUCAUCCCCUUCCUCAUCCCCAUCAGCAAAACCAGAACCAUCUAAUAUUAUCGAAUGGCUACUCUGCCCAGUAUCAGGACCACAAACAUUGUGGGGCACGUAGUAUGACUGUUUCUCGGGUUGGCUACCAUCCACAUCUUGUGGCUGUGACCCGGAUAAAACAAUCUCGUUAGCCACUUCGCUGCCUUGGCCGGGUUCAUACCCCCUGUGGAGUUGUACGGUAUUCUCCUCCUUCGGCACAGGUUGCACAAGUGCAUAUGGGUGGAUUCUUCGGUCUCGGCAGCGUCUUAACAGGGACAACCAAUGUUGGCUCCUAUCUACCGGCAUCAACUCCCACUUGACAUUUUUACAAGAUUUGGUCCACAAUGCAUGAAUACUGACGGAACAUACUUCAGGAUCCAGCCCGAAACUAGUUGUCAACCAGUACUUCAAUUGUCUAAUGUCCAGUCUGUCCGGGUCUGCUAGUGUCAUGACGCCAUUUUUAAACUCGCUAAGAUCAACCCCCAACUCAUUAUAUCGAACAUUACCAGCGCCGUAGUAAACAUUCAGAUUUACUGAUUAAGACAUUUUCACCUGUCAGACAUUGCCAUCUUCUCAUUAAUCACAACGAACUAUGCGCUAAAAUGCCUCCAAAAAUAUAUUAACACUAAAAUUCACAAUAUGACUUAUAUACACUAACUAAACUAUAUUAAUCACAAUAUACACUAAUAUUAUCCGCUACACGAACUAUGCGCUAAAAUGCCUCCAAAAAUAUAUUAACACUAAAAUUCACAAUAUACAUUAAUAUUAUCCGCUACGCGAACUAUGCGCUAAAAUGCCUCUAAAAAUAUAUUAACACUAAAAUUCACGAUAUACACUAAUAUUAUCCGCUACACGAACUAUGCGCUAAAAUGCCUCCUAAAUUAAAUUAACACUGAAAUUCACAAUGAACACUAAUAUUAUCCGCUACACGAACUAUGCGCUAAUAUUUACAUAAUAUUUGUGACGACGUGAUUAUACCUUCGAAGUGUGUGUCCGCUUCUUGCUUCUCUCUUUGACUCAGCGGCACCGGCCACCUCGCGAAGUACUUGCACCACCGGAGAACGACAACGCCGCCCCCAACGACCGGAGGUUCAACUCCGGUCAGCCCCCAACCCGCUCCUCCUCCUCACCACCUCCUCCUCUGCAGCUGCUGCUACUAGUCACCACCACCUACUACCCGUCCUCCUCUCCACCAUGGCUCCUCCUCCCCACCAUGGCUGCUCCUCCCCAAACACAUCAAAAACUAUUCCAUAGCAAAAAAUAACACCGUAGGCCGGUGGGGAUUGCUAUGAUCUACCGAUUCUGUGGGUUGGAUUUGCAAAUGUGUGGCAAAUGGAGGAGAUCGGCGCGGGAGGGGGGGGGAGUUCUACAGAGAAGAACUGAGAGAGAGAGAAAGGGAAACGAAGAACAGAGCACAACACAGGGGCGAACAGGUGCUUAUCCGCACCUUUUCGGCCUAGACCUGGCCGAAAACGGCUUCGGUCGAAGCCUAGCCGAAAAGGCCAGCUUCGGUCACCGGUGGGCCGAAAACGGCCCAGUUCGGCCGCCUAGCAGCCGACACUACUAUUUUCGGCCGGUACCCCGUCAACAGCGAGUUUUCGGCCCAAGCGCGGCCGAAAAGCCUACUUCGGCCAUGGCCUGGCCGAAAACUCCCUUUUCGGCCCACUCCUGGCCGACGGGCUACUAGUUUUGCGUUUUUUUCAUUCUACGCUAUAGUUUCCGAAAUUGCUACAAAAAACAUGAUAGUUUUGAAAAAAAGUCUUUUUUUUGCGGGGCAAGAGUAAUAGAAACUUAGGUGUUGAUUGGCGAAGUUCCCUUCUUUGCAUUGGAAGUAGCUAAAAUGAUUGUGCGAAUGCUGGUUGAUUAAUAUAGGUAAGUGCUUUCAAUAAAGAAAAGGAGUGGCUGGCCCUGAUUAUCGCAUCAAUAUUAGCAGCCCCAGCUGUACUUUAUGAAUUAUUAGCAUGUUUAUGCAAAAUAUUUCGUAUUUAGCUGGGUUGAUUUAUUCUUUGGAGGGAGGGGGUAUGUACCUUGGUAUCUGGAUCGAAUUUUGGAGCAUUAUGCGUCUAUGGACAUAUAGUGAAUAUUCGAUGUAAUCAACCACUGCCUUUUUCUUUUUUGCGGGAAUCAACUAUUAUACCAACCACACACAACGCAAGCCAACCAUCAUGUUAUUGCCUUGUUCGUUUCCUACAUAUUGCAAGUUUGCAACCUCACUACGUAGCUAGCUCUCUCCCCAUCCUCUCACUCUCUGGCAUUGCGUUGCUCGUGUGUCCCAAGAAGUAAAGCUCGGGCCCUCACUUCGAGAAUGGCGGCGGCAGAGGGCAGCAAGGAGGAGACGACGAGGAGGAAGGCAGAGCGGGUGGCGCUGCCGGUGGGCAUUUUUUUUUCUUUUUGAAAAGAAGGAAUACCCCCGGCCUCUGCAUCUGGACGAUGCAUACGGCCACUUUAUUGAUUAUAACACAAGACCUUACAAAGUCGUACAACAGUAACACCAAAGCCACCAUCUUCGCAACCUCUGUCGCUACUCCUAUCUAUCGGAUGAAGGGGCGCUGAUGGUCUGGGCCUAAUACCAAACAGACCUCGCAGCCAAACCUUCCGGGUAUGGGCACCCACCUGUCUGGCGUGCUUUUCAACCAGGCCCCCUGCCGGGUAUGAGGCCGCCGCAGCCACGUACCAUCAAUCCAUCUUCAGAGUUGUACUGUUGCAUGAACCGUGCCAGGCCUCUCUGCCAUCGACCCCACCACGACGCCAGACAGCGCCACCAUCCUGCGCUCGUCCAUCAUCACACGCCCACCGGCGAUACCCCUACUGCUCCAUGCCGUCGAGACUCGCCGUUGUCGACGUACCAGAUGCCACGCCGCUCCUCCGACGCGAACACGAAAAACAGGAAACGCCCUAAAGAUACAAGGGGCACUCUGCACAACAUGAAAGCCGCCGCGAGCAGCUGCAGAAAUCCAGCCGGCAGCCAAAGCCCCCACCAUCAUGAGCCCACACCCGAAUCCUAGCUCCCCAGGCAACGCCUCCAAGGAGGGGAUGACGCCCAUGGCGCCACCGCUGCCCAAUCCAGACCGGAUUUUGGGUUUUCACCCGGGAGAGGACCGGAGGUGACAAGAAUAAGGACCUCGACACCGCCUUCAGGAAGGAUGCGUCGCCCGAAGCCGACGCCGCUGUCGAGCCGAACCAGCCGGCCUAGGGUUUCCCCCGGUCCCAAUCUGCACCACCAUCCCCAGAAGCACCGGAACCAGCAGCAUCCACCGGCCACAAGCGCAAAGGGGAAGGAGCGGGAAGGAGGGAGUAGCAGGCCUCCAGAUCUGGAGAGGACGAAGGCCCCCGAACUGCCGCCGCCAAGCGCCGACUCCCCGCCACCCGAGCGGUCGAGGACGUCGGGCAGAGUCCCCGCGCACACCGUCCAGAGCGCGAACAGCGGCGCCGAACCAGCAGGGGCCGCCGCCCCGUGGAUCCAGAUCUCCGCAAAGGGACGAUGAAGGCCUCGCCGCCACCUUCCUCGGCAGCCGCGCGACGCAUCGGCGGCUCCUCUAGUGACGACGAGGAGAAGAAGAAGGGGGAGGGGGACCGCCGGCGGCGGCUAGGGUUAGCCGCCCGUGUCGCCCCUGUUGGAGCGACGCGGGGGCGGGGGGGACUCCUGCUACACACUGGUUAGUAGUAGUAGUAGUUGUGUAGUCUCCAUAUGCCUGCCGGCGGGCAUGGUACUGGUGCAGGUGUUGACGGUGGUGACCAUGCUAUUGUCCAAGGCGGCGCUCAACGGCGGCAUGCAACCCCUGGUCCUCCUCGUCUACCGCAACCUCGUCGCUGCUGCCACCGUCGCCCCCCUUGCCGUCGUUUUUGAGAGGUGCGUGUGUGAUCGAUUGAACCAUGGUGCGCAAUAUCAGUUAGUUUUAAACCGCGUUCGGCGAAACACGUACGUACAUCAUUCAUGAAUGCAUGCAUGAAAUGUCAUUUGUUUUGCUUAGCUAGGUUGACUGACGGACAGCAUGAACGCAUAGGUAUACACAUGCCCGUACUUAAAGCCGCCAGGUGUAUGCUAUCAUCGAUCUGAUCAUUUGGGCACAUGACAGUGCUAGACAUGUCGCAACCGCCAGCUGCAGGCACGCUCGGUCGAUGAUCUGAUCAUUCACAUGACAACAACUGCAGCCACGUCUGGAUUCUGGAAGGAUUUUUUUUUCCUUUUAAGUACUGUUUUUUUUUGAAAGGACAGCAUAUUUCCCUAACAUGCAUGCAUUUUUCCAUUUGAUGCUCUGCAUUUGCAUCAUCUGUUCUUUCACUAAUAUAGCUACCACGCCACUGUCGUUGAUGAUUGCAGGGAAAUAUUGAAGAAAGUGAACAUGGUUGUUUUGGGCUGGAUCUUCAUCAACGCUACUUUCGGGUUCGCAUCCAACUAUAGUAUACUGCAGCCUGUAAUGCAAUGCGCUUGCAUGCUUCUACAUUUGUUCAUGUCCUCAGUUUAUUGCGAUGUGAUUUCUGAUCUGUACGAAAUUAUAACUCUGUUCAUAAUCUCGAUCCUUGAUGUUUUUUCUUUAUCCUUGAUGUUAAAAACAGGGAAAGCUUAUUAGCAUUAGGCUAGGCUAAUCCACGCUACUAAUAUGGUAAACGUCUAUGUUACGUUUUGAAGAUUUUUGUUGUCCUUCCACUUCUCAAAUUAUAGUAAUGUGGUUAAUUAUUAGUAUAUAUUGAAGUAAUGUGGUUAUUAGUAUCUAAAUUUUACCACAAUAACAGUGUAUAAUUACUGUGCUAAAUAUGUAUGAUUGCCAGGUAAAUAUUUAUUAGGGAUAGUAGCAUUGCUGUGAAUGGCCAGGGUUAGUAUUAAAAUGUUACUCUAAAUAAGUAAAAGAUGAGGUGAGGCUGUAAAACUACUACUCCUCCGUCUCAUAUUAAUUGUCGCUCAAAGGGAUGUAUCUAGCACUGAAAUGAGACUGAGGGAGUAUCAUGGAAGUCCUACAGUUGAUCAAGAGUAGCGUUAUGUAACAUGAUAACCAAGUUAUUUCCUUUUUGUUGUAACUAAUUAAGUUACUAUCACCUCCAUCGCAGCCAAAUGGUUGUACAUGCAUGUAACCCGACAACUAAAUCGCUAUAAUUUUGCAAUUGGCAAUGAAAAAUUAUGAAACAUGUCAACAUCAGACUAAGCUUGGAAAUCUCGUCAGUGUAGCAGCCAUCAGUGAAAACGUGUGGUUAAUCGGUUUGACGGUUGGUGAAAUAAGAGUUUUUGAAAGGUUUCAAAUCCAUUUUUUCGUAAUAUAUGUUAUGUUUGCAUGUCUACUCUCUUUAUUUGCAUGCAUGUGUGAGAAAGUGGCACAAAAAUAACAGACGUCGAAAUUACGUCAGGCUAUUGUGUUGGAUUCUCAGUUAUUUAAUAUGUAUUCAGUAUAGUCUUGCAUCCAAUAAAUUUUGAAUUAUGCGUGUAUGAUGCAGAGUUUUGUUGGCGACGGGGUUGUACUACUGCGCCCUACGGGCCACCAGCGCCGCCUAUACCGUCAACUUCUUCAACCUCAUUCCCGUUGUCACCUUCCUCAUCGCCGUCGUGCUCCAGGCCGAGCGCAUCUCCCUCGACACCUGGCCCGGCAGGAUGAAGCUGGUCGGCACGGCCUUGGUGUCGCCGGCACCAUGGUGGUCAUCCUAUGCAAGGGCCCUCAUCUCCCGCUGCCGCACCUCCGGCCGUCCAAUGCCCACGCCCACGCCAGCGCACCGGCACCGGCGUCGGUGAUCCAAGGUGGCCACGACAUGGCCGUCGGCACGCUGUUCAUGUGUGGGAGCUGGGCACGCUGUUCAUGUGUGGGAGCUGCGUGAGCUAUGCACUAUGGUUCGUGGUGCAGGCUAGGGUUGCCAAGGUGUUCCUGUUGAAAUAUGAGAUGGGCCUAGAGCCCAUAUGACAAUUUCAGAUUUGAUCUCUAAGGGCCCAUGUAGGUGGCAUGACAAGGUGGUGGAAAGUUUAGUCCCACCCCGGAAGUGGAAGAAGAGUUGGAGUGGUUUAUAAGGGAUUCUCUUCCUUGUGUUAUUGGAGCUUGAGAAGAGAUGAGGCCCUCGCGCACUCCACACCUCGCCGCGCCGCGGGUUGCGGGAUUGAGCCGAGCCGAGAUCACUCCUAUGCGCUUCUUUUUGCCGGUCAAGAACGGAGAGUCUUUGACAGGUAGGGCCACGAUCUGAGACGUCGGAUCGUGGGCUACCGACUUGGACGUGGGUUCAGCCCACCUCUCUCCACGCGCAGCCGCACAUAUAUAUGUGGGGCACUGCCAACCCUAGCCGCCACGAAACAGAACGCAUCUCCACCUCCAUGCCCACGUCGUUCCUCUGCUGCUGCUGCCGCCGGCGACUCCGUCCCGUUCACCGCGUACACGGUUGACGGGAGAGCAGGCCUUCGAAAACCCGCCUCUCCGGAUCCUGUACGGGAGAGGGGCGAUUAGGUUUUUGGGUAGCGACUACGCGACUGCUCGCUUCUGUUCAUCUACGUCUGCAUCACCUUCGCCAUCACCAUGUCGACCGACGCCGACUGUGCCGCCGCUGAGAAGGCCGAGGCCGACAAGAAGGCCGCCGAGGAUGUCGCGGCUGCUGCCACCGCCACCACCGCCGCGUGGCCGAUUGGAGGGUAUACAUCGUUUAUCCCUCUCGUGUUUCUUUCUGUUGUAGCAGUACUAAAGUUAUGCGUAGAUGUUUCUACUAUAUGCGUAAUACAUGCUCUGUUAGAUCAUAAUCAGUGUGUUAUCAGUGCUGUCCAUGUCAUGCUCAUGAUUUAUUCGUGGAUUAAUUUAAUUGAAAAACUGCCUAUUUUCUUAUCAAUCCAAAAACCUAAUGUGUGUAGAAGUUUUUCGAAUUCUGGUUUUGCUGCUGCACUGAAACCGUCCCCGUUUAUGGGGACGUACUUUAAGCGUUGGCAGACUAAAACCACCUUAUGGCUCACGACCAUGAACGUGUUCUGGGUCGCCGGUGUGACUCUCACAGGAACGAUCGCUCCUGAAUAGGAGAAGGCGUUCAAGGAGGCCACUGUCGUGUUCCUCGGGGCAGUUCUGAGCGUGAUUGGAGAUAAGCUGGUUGACGCAUAUUUGCAUGUGCGGUCUGCCAAGGACUUGUGGGAGGCGCUCGAAUCUAAGUUCGGGGCUACCGAUGCAGGGAGCGAGAUGUAUAUUAUAGAGCAGUUCCACGACUACAAGAUGGUUGAAAACCGUCCUGUAUUGGAGCAGGCUCAUGAGAUAAUAUGCAUUGUUAAGGAGCUUGAGCUUCUUAAGUGCGAGUUACCGGGCAAGUUUGUCGCGGGCUGCAUAAUCGCUAAGUUUCCCAAUUCCUGAAGGAACUUUGCCACCACUCUGAAACAUCAGAGGCGUGAAUUCUCUGUGGAGGAUGUCAUUGGCCAUCUGAGUGUUGAGCAGAAUUCAAGGGUAAAGGACUCACACGGAAAAGGGGUCGAAGGAACUUCUGUGGCCAAUAUGGUACAUCAGAAGAACUCCAAUUCCCACAAGCCCAAGGGAAAGAACGGUGUCCAACAGAGUGCCGACUUUAAGAAGAAGGGUAAGAAGACCUUCAAGAAGAACAAGAAGGAUGAGGGCUGCUUUACUUGUGGUUCGCUUGAACAUUGGGCCAACAAGUGCCCACACAAGUAUAAGAAGCAAGGGCAGGACUCCAAGUCUGUCAAUAUGAUUGUGAGCAACAACGAGAGUGGUGCAUCUGGGUACGGUAAUUUAUUUGCUGUAUUUUCAGUUUGAUCGUCCAUCGAUUGGUGGGUCGACACAGGUGCAGGUGUUCAUGUGUGUGCUGACAUUUCAUUGUUUUCUUCUUAUCAGGCCACAGGUCACGGGUCCUUACUGAUGGAGAAUAGCGCGAGUGCUUCUGUUCUUGGUGUUGGCACGGUCGAUCUGAAGUUUACUUCGAGAAGGAUCGUGCAGCUGAAGAACGUGCAGCAUGUCCCCGUCAUCAAGAAGAAUCUCGUUAGUGGCUCCCUUCUAUGUAGAGAAGGGUUUAAGUUGGUAUUCGAGUCUAAUAAAUUAGUUGUUACGAAAUAUGGACUAUUUGUUGGAAAGGGUUAUGAAUGCGGAGGCAUGUUCCGCCUUUCUCUUGCAGAUCUAUGUAAUAAAGUCGUGAACAAUAUUCAUUUGAGUGUUAAUGAAUCUGACGUCUGGCAUUCACGUCUUUGUCACAUUAGUUUCGGUGUUAUGACGCGGCUAGCAAAAUUGAAUUUAAUCCCGAGUUUCAUUUUAGCCAAAGGUUCUAAGUGCCAUUCGUGUGUGCAAUCUAAGCAACCUCGCAAGCCUCACAAGGCAGCAGAGGAGAGACACUUGGCGUCACUGGAACUCAUACAUUCUGAUCUUUGUGAGAUGAAUGGUGUGUUGACUAAAGGUGGAAAUAAAUAUUUCAUGACUUUGAUAGAUGAUUCCACUAGAUAUUGCUAUGUGUAUAUGUUAAAUACUAAAGAUGAGACUCUACACUACUUCAAAAUCUAUAAUGCAGAAGUUGAGAAUCAACUUGAAAAGAAAAUUAAAUGAGUCCGGUCAGAUCGUGGUGGAGAGUACUUCUCGAAAGAGUUUGAUGCCUUUUGUGCGGAACACGGCAUUAUUCACGAGAGGACGCCUCCCUACUCACCCCAGUCAAACAGGGUUGCCAAGCGGAAAAAUCGUACUCUAACUGAUUUGGUUAAUGCCAUGUUAGAUACAUCGGGUUUAUCCAAGGCAUGGUGGGGGGAGGCUAUAAUGACAUCCUGUCAUGUCCUGAAUAAAGUUCGGACAAAGGAUAACGAGAUCACUCCUUACAAGAAGUGGACCAAGAGGAGGACAGCACUCUCGUACUUACGUACCUGGGGCUGCUUGGCGAAAGUUAAUGUGCUGAUCCCCAAAAAGCGUAAGCUUGGACCAAAGACUGUGGACUGUGUUAAUUUGGGCUAUGCUAUGAAUAGUGUUGGCUAUAGAUUUCUAGUAGUGAAAUCUGAGGUACCUGACAUGAAGGUCGGUACAAUUAUGGAGUCUAAAGAUGCUACAUUCUUUGAGGACAUUUUCCCCAUGAGAGAUGUAAAAAGCAUUUCUAGACAGGAAUCUGAGGAGACUCCUGAACCUGCCAUUCCGAUGGAAUAUUAUAAUCAAACACAUGAUGAAAAUCAUGAGGAGGAUAAUAAGGAAUCCCUUGGUAGGGGCAAGAGACAAAGGACUGUAAAGACCUUUGGUGAUGAUUUCUUCAUAUACCUCGUGGAGGAUAAUCCCACUUCUAUUUCAAAAGCGUAUGCAUCUCCAGAAGCUGACUACUGGAAGGAUGCGGUCCGUAGCGAGAUGGAUUCCAUCAUGGCUAACGGGACUUGGGAGCUUACUGAACGUCCUUAUGGUUGCAAACCAUUGGGAUGCAAGUGGGUGUUCAAGAAGAAGCUUAGGCCUGACGGUACGAUAGAAAAGUACAAGGCUAGGCUUGUGGCCAAGGGCUACGCCCAGAAAGAAGAAGAAGAUUUCUUCGACACUUAUUCACCUGUGGCCAGACUGACCACCAUUCGAGUAUUACUCUCGUUGGCGGCCUCACAUGGUCUUCUCAUUCAUCAGAUGGAUGUUAAGAUGACUUUCCUGAACGGAGAGCUAAAGGAGGAAAUCUAUAUGCAACAGCUUGAUGGCUUUUUUAUGGAUGGUCAGGAAGGAAACGUGUGUAAGUUGGUGAAAUCUUUGUAUGGCCUGAGACAAGCGCCUAAGCAAUGGCAUGACAAGUUUAAUGAAACGUUGACAUCUGUUGGCUUUGUUGUUAAUGAGGCCGUCAAAUGUGUAUACUAUCGCUAUGGUGGGGGCGAAGGAGUUAUACUGUGUUUGUAUGUUGAUGACAUACUGAUAUUUGGGACUAAUCUCAAGUUGAUCGAGGAGGUGGGAUUACACUUCUGCAAUCCCAUUAUGUUGAGAAGGUGUUGAGUCGUUUUGGAUAUUCGGACUGCAAACCAUCUCAAACACCAUAUGAUCCUAGUGUGCUGAUUCGAAAGUCUAAAGGCACAACUAUAGAUCAAUUGAGAUACUCUCAGAUUGUUGGUUCACUCCAGUAUCUAGCGAGUGCAACGAGGCCUGACAUCGCAUUUGCUAUUAGCAAACUGAGCUGAUUUGUUUCCAAACCGGGUGAUGCACAUUGGCGUGCUCUUGAGAGAGUUAUGCGCUAUCUGAAAUGUACUAUGAACUAUGGACUUCACUAUACCGGAUACCCGUCGGUACUUGAAGGGUAUAGUGAUGCGAAUUGGAUCUCUGAUGCUGAUGAGAUGAAGGCCACAACUAGGUAUAUGUUUACUCUUGGAGGUGGUGCUGUUUCCUGGAAGUCUUGCAAGCAAACGAUCUUAACAAGAUCGACAAUGGAAGCAGAAUUAACAGCAUUAGACACAUCGGGUGGCGAAGCAGAAUGGCUUCGAGAUCUGUUGAUGGACUUACCAGUGGUUGAGAAGCCGGUUCCGGCCAUCCUUAUGAACUGUGACAAUCAAACAGUUAUUCUCAAGGUGAAGAGUUCAAAGGAUAACAUGAAGUCCAACAAACACAUAAGAAUGAGAUUGAAAGCUGUCAGAAAAUUGAGGAACUCCGGAGUGAUAGGGUUGAAUUAUAUUCAAACGGCUAAGAAUCUAGCAGAUCCCUUUACUAAAGGGCUAUCACGUGUUGUGAUAGAUAGCGCAUCAAGGGAGAUGGGUAUGAGACCCACAUGAGUUGCCAUGGUAGUAACUCAACCUAUGUGAUCGGAGAUCCCGUGAAGUAGGACCUGGGAAAACAAGCCAGUGGUGAACUGAGGAGAGUAACUUUACUAACCCACUCCGUUGGAGAUGCAAUACUCUCGGAAACUGUAUGGAAGGAUGACUACUGUCUUAAUGUGUUCCAAGGCUUAUAUGCAUAAGCAAGAAGCUAUCCUACAGAGCGAUCUUUGGAGGAACACACCUAUAUGAGCCCGACUGCUGGUCACAGUCUAUGAGAUUGGGGUGAUCUCUAGCAAGCUCAUGAACAGGCCAGGAGUGUGACUAAUAUGCUCCACCCAAGGGGUCGGCCUUCGGCAGCCUCGUAUCAGUGAGACUUGUGGUGAAACUUUUUGACACCAAACUGACAAUUCAAGCCAUAGUCCACUGUUCAGUUGUGAAGGAGUGUAACUACUUGGUCUGGGUGGAGCUCAACCUUAAUCGGUCUCCACUGAGAUGCUGGUAUAUCAAAACAGCGUUUGGAACAAAGGACAAACUGGACCCCUGAGAUCUGGUGGGGGAUUGUUGAAAUAUGAGAUAGGCCUAGAGCCCAUAUCACAAUUUCAGAUUUGAUCUCUAAGGGCCCAUGUAGGUGGCAUGACAAGGUGGUGGGAAGUUUAGUCCCACCUCGGAAGUGGAAGGAGAGUUGGAGUGGUUUAUAAGGGAUUCUUGUUGGGGAACGUAGCAGAAAUUCAAAAUUUUCUACGCAUCACCAAGAUCAAUCUAUGGAGUAAUCUAGCAACGAGGGAAGGAGAGUGCAUCUACAUACCCUUGUAGAUCGCUAAGCGGAAGCGUUCAAGUGAACGGGGUUGAUGGAGUCGUACUCGUCGUGAUCCAAAUUACCGAUGAUCCUAGUGCCGAACGGAUGGCACCUCCGUGUUCAACACACGUACAGCCCGGUGACGUCUCCUACGCCUUGAUCCAGCAAGGGGAGAAGGAGAGGUUGGGAAGACUCCAUCCAGCAGCGGCACGACGGCGUGGUGGUGAUGGAGGAGCGUGGCAAUCCUGCAGGGCUUCGCUAAGCACCACGGGAGAAGAGGAGGACUUGGGAGAGGGGGAGGGCUGCGCCAAGACUUGGGGUGCGGCUGCCCUCCCACCCCCCACAUAUAUAUAUAGGGGCAAGGAGAGGGGGGUCCGGCCCCCUCAGAUCCAAUCUGAGGAGGGGGCGGCGGCCAAGGGGGGUUGCCUUGCCCCCCAAGGCAAGGGGGGCGCCCCCCUUUUAGGGUUCCUCCAAACCCUAGGCGCAUGGGCCCUAGGGGGGAGGCGCCCAGCCCACUAAGGGGCCGGUCCCUCUCCAUGUACAGCCCAUAGGGCCCUCCGGGGCAGGUGGACCCUCCCGGUGGACCCCCGGAACCCCUCCGGUGGUCCCGGUACAAUACCGGUAACCCCCAAAUUAUUCCGGUGACCGUAUGAUGACUUCCCAUAUAUAAAUCUUUACCUCCGGACCAUUCCGGAACUCCUCGUGACGUCCGGGAUCUCAUCCGGGACUCCGAACAACAUUCUGUAACCAUGUAUAUCUAUUCCCUAUAACCCUAGCAUCAUCGAACCUUAAGUGUGUAGACCCUACGGGUUCGGGAAACAUGCAGACAUGACCGAGACACCUCUCCGGUCGAUAACCAACAGCGGGAUCUGGAUACCCAUGUUGGCUCCCACAUGCUCCACGAUGAUCUCAUCGGAUGAACCACGAUGUCAAGGACUUAAUCAAUCCCGUAUACAAUUCCCUUCGUCUAGCGGUACGAUACUUGCCCGAGAUUCGAUCGUCGGUAUCCUGAUACCUGGUUCAAUCUCGUUACCGGCAAGUCUAUUUUACUCGUUCCGUAACACAUAAUCCCGUGAUCAACUCCUUGAUCACAUUGUGCACAUUAUGAUGAUGUCCUACUGAGUGGGCCUAGAGAUACCUCUCCAUUUACACGGAGUGACAAAUCCCAGUCUCAAUUCGUGCCAACCCAACAGACACUUUCGGAGAUACCUGUAGUGUACCUUUAUAGCCACCCGGUUACGUUGUGACAUUUGGCACACCCAAAGCACUCCUAUGGUAUCCGGGAGUUGCACAAUCUCAUGGUCUAAGGAAAUGAUACUUGACAUUAGAAAAGCUUUAGCAUACGAACUACAUGAUCUUGUGCUUGGCUUAGGAUUGGGUCUUGUCCAUCACAUCAUUCUCUUAAUGAUGUGACCCCGUUAUCAACGACAUCCAAUGUCCAUGGUCAGGAAACCGUAACCAUCUAUUGAUCAACGAGCUAGUCAACUAGAGGCUUACUAGGGACAUGGUGUUGUCUAUGUAUCCACACAUGUAUCUGAGUUUCCUAACAAUACAAUUCUAGCAUGGAUAAUAAACGAUUAUCAUGAACAAGGAAAUAUGAUAAUAACUAAUUUAUUAUUUCCUCUAGGGCAUAUUUCCAAUAGUCUCCCACUUGCACUAGAGUCAAUAAUCCAGUUCACAUCGCUGUGUGAUUAACACUCAAGGUCACAUCCCCAUGUGACUAACACCCAAAGAGUUUACUAGAGUCAAUAAUCUAGUUUACAUUACCAUGUGAUUAACACUCGAUGAGUUCUGGGUUUGAUCAUGUUAUGCUUGUGAGAGAUGUUAUAGUUAACGGGUCUGAACCUUUCAGAUCCGUGUGUGAUUUACAAAUCUCUAUGUCAUCUCCUAGAUGCAGCUACCACAUUCUAUUUGGAGCUAUUCCAAAUAACUGUUCUACUAUACGAAUCCAGUUUACUACUCAGAAUAAUCUGGAUUAGUGUCAAAGUUUGCAUCGGCGUAACCCUUUACAACGAACUCUUUUACCACCUCCAUAAUCGAGAAAAUUCCUUAGUCCACUAGUUACUAAGGAUAACUUUGACCGCUGUCCUGUGAUCCAUUAUUGGAUCACUCUUGUACCCAUUGACUGACUCAUGGCAAGGCACACUUCAGGUGAGGUACACAGCAUAGCAUACUGUAGAGAGCCUGUGACAAAAGCAUAGGGGACGACCUUCGUCCUUCCUCUUUCUUCUGCCGUGGUCGAGCUUUAAGUCUUAACUUCAUACCUUACAACUCAGGCAAGAACUCCUUCUUUGACUGAUCCAUCUUGAACACCUUCAAGAUCAUGUCAAGGUAUGUGCUCAUUUGAAAGUAUCAUUAAGCAUUUUGAUCUAUCCUUAUAGAUCUUGAUGCUCAAUGUCCAAGUAGCUUAAUCCAGGCUUUCCAUUGAAAAACACUUUCCAAAUAACCCUAUAUGCUUUCCAGAAAUUCUACGUCAUUUCUGAUCAACAAUAUGUCAACAACAUAUAUUCAUCAGAAAUUCUAUAGUGCUCCCACUCACUUCUUUGGAAAUACAAGUUUCUCAUAAACUUUGUAUAAACCCAAAAUCUUUGAUCAUCUCAUCAAAGCAUACAUUCCAACUCCGAGAUGCUUACUCCAGUCCUUAGAAGGAUUGCUGGAGCUUUGCAUACUUGUUAGCAUCUUUUAGGAUUGACAAAACCUUCCGGUUGUAUCACAUACAACCUUUCCUCAAGAAAAUCGUCGAGGAAACAAUGUUUUGAUAUCCUAUCUGCAAUAUUUCAUAAAUAUUGCAGUAAUCGCUAAUAUAAUUCCAACAGACUCUUAGCAUCGCUACGAGUGAGAAAGUCUCAUCGUAGUAAACUUCUUGAACUUGUCGGAAAACAUCUUAACGACAAGUAGAGCUUUCUUAAUGGUGAUACUUACCAUCAUUGUCCGUCUUCCUUUUAAAAUCCAUAUGUACCUAACAGCCUUACGACCAUCAAGUAGUUCUUCCAAAGUCUACACUUUGUUUUCAUAUAUGGAUCCUCUCUCGGAUUAUAUGGCCUCGAGCCAUUUUGGAAUCCAGGCCCACCAUCACUUCUCCAUAGCUCGUAGGUUCAUUGUUGUCUAGCAACAUGACUUCCAAGACAGGAUUACGUACCACUCUGAAGUAGUACGCAUCCUUGUCAUCCCACGAGGUUUGGUAGUGACUUGAUCUAAAGUUUCAUGAUCACUAUCAUAAGCUUCCACUUCAAUUGGUGUAGGUGCCACAGGAACAACUCCCUGUGCCCUGCCACACACUAGUUGAAGAGACGGUUCAAUAACCUCAUAAAGUCUCCACCAUCCUCCCACUCAAUUCUUUCGAGAGAAACUUUUCCUCGGGAAAGGACCCGAUUCUAGAAACAAUCCCUUGUUGCUUUCGGAUCUGAAAUAGGAGGUAUACCCAACUGUUUUGGGUGUCCUAUGAAGAUGCAUUUAUCCGCUUUGGGUUCGAGCUUGUCAGCCUGAAACUUUUCAUAUAAGCGUCGCAGCCCCAAACUUUUAAGAAAUGACAGCUUAGGUUUCUCUAAACCAUAGUUCAUACGGUGUCAUCUCAUCGGAAUUACGUGGUGCCCUAUUUAAAGUGAAUGUGGUUGUCUCUAAUGCCUAACCCAUAAUCUAUCGUGGUAAUUCGAUAAGAGACAUCAUGGUAUGCAUCAUAUCCAAUAGGGUGCAGUUAUGAUGUUUGGACACACCAUUACACUAUGGUGUUCCAGGCUGUAUUAGUUGUGAAACAAUUUCCACAAUGUCUUAAUUCUGUGCCAAACUCGUAAUUCAGAUAUUCAUAUCUAUGAUCAUAUCAUAGAUAUUUUAUCCUCUUGUCACGGCGAUCUUUCAACUUCACCCUGAAAUUACUUGAACCUUUCAAUAAUUCAGACUCGUGAUUCAUCAAGUAAAUAUACUCAAUAUCUACUCAAAUCAUCUGUGAAGUAAGAACAUAACGAUAUCCACUACACGCCUCAGCACUCAUUGGACUGCACACAUCAAAAUGUAUUACUUCCAACAAGUUGCUUUCUAGUUCCAUUUUACUGAAAACGAGGCUUUAAGUCAUCUUGCCCAUGUGGUAUGAUUUGCAUGUCUCAAGUGAUUCAAAAACAAGUGAGUCCAAACGGUCCAUUUGCAUGGGGUUUCUUCAUGCAUAUACACCAAUAGACAUGGUUGGCAUGUCUCAAACUUUUCAAAAACGAGUGAGCCCAAAGAUCCAUCAACAUGGAGCUUCUUCAUGCGUUUUAUACCGAUAUGACUUAUGUGGCAGUGCCACAAGUAGGUGGUACUAUCAUUACUAUCUUAUAUCUUUUGGCAUGAACAUGUGUAUCACUACGAUCGAGAUUCAGUAAACCAUUCAUUUUAGGUGCAAGACCAUUGAAGGUAUUAUUCAAAUAAACAGAGUAACCAUUAUUCUCCUUAAAUGAAUAACCGUAUUGCGAUAGACAUAAUCCAAUCAUGUCUAUGCUCAAUGCAAACACCAAUCUCGAUGGUAGAGGGAGCGUGCGAUGCUUGAUCACAUCAAGCUUGGAAAAAACUUCCAACACAUAUCGCCAGCUCACCUUUAGCUAGUCUCCGUUUACUCCGCAGCCUUUUAUUUCGAGUUUACUAACACUUAGCAACCGAAUCGGUAUAUAAUACCAUGGUGCUACUAGGAGUACUAGUGAAGUACACAUUAACACAAUGUAUAUCCAAUAUACUUCUAUCGACCUUGCCAGCCUUCUCAUCUACCAAGUAUCUAGGGUAAUUCUACUCCAGUGGUUGUUCCUCUUAUUACAGAAGCACUUAGUCUCGGGUUUGGGUUCAACCUUGGGUUUCUUCACUAGAGCAGCAGCUGAAUUGCCGUUUCAUGAAGUAUCCCUUCUUGCCCUUGCCCUUGCCCUUCUUGAAACUAGUGGUUUCACCAACCAUCAACAAUUGAUGCUCCUUCUUGAUUUCUACUUUUGUGGUGUCAAACAUCGCGAAUAUCUCAAGGAUCAUCAUAUAUGUCCCUGAUAUAUUAUAGUUCAUCACGAAGCUCUAGCAGCUUGGUGGUAAUGACUUCGGAGAAACAUCACUAUCUCAUCUGGAAGAUCAACUCCCACUCGAUUCAAAUGAUUGUUGUACUCAGACAAUCUGAGCACAAGCUCAACAAUUGAGCUUUUCUCCCUUAGUUUGCAGGCUAAGAAAAUCGUCGGAGGUCUUAUACCUCUUGACGUGGGCACGAGCCUGAAAUCCCAAUUUCAGCCCUCGAAACAUCUCAUAUGUUUUGCGACGUUUCAAAAUGUCUUCGGUACCUCAACUCUAAACCGUUUAACUAAACUAUCACGUAGUUAUCAAAAUGUGUAUGUCAGACAUUCACAGAUGACAUUCGAGGUUCAGCACACUGAGCGGUGCAUUAAGGACAUAAGCCUUCUAUGAAGCAAUGAGGACAAUCCUCAGUUUACGGACCUAGUCCGCAUAAUUGCUACUGUCAUCUUUCAACUAAAUUUUCUCUAGGAUCAUAUCUAAACAGUAGAAAUGAAGCGCGAGCUACGACAUAAUUUGCGAAGACCUUUUGACUAUGUUCAGGAUAAUUAAGUUCAUCUUAUGAACUCCCACUCAGAUAGACAUCCCUCUAGUCAUCUAAGUGAUUACAUGAUCUGAGUCAACUAGGCUGUGUCCGAUCAUCACGUGAGACGGACUAGUCAUCAUCGGUGAACAUCUUCAUGUUGAUCGUAUCUACCAUACGACUCAUGCUCGACCUUUCGGUCUCUUGUGUUCCGAGGCCAUGUCUGUACAUGCUAGGCUCGUCAAGUCAACCUAAGUGUUUCGCAUGUGUCCCGAGGCCAUGUCUGUACAUGCUAGGCUCGUCAACACCCGUUGUAUUCGAACGUAAGAAUCUAUCACACCCGAUCAUCACGUGGUGCUUCGAAAUGACGAACUUUCGCAACGGUGCACAGUUAGGGGGAACACUUUCUUGAAAUUUUAAUGAGGGAUCAUCUUAUUUACUACCGCCGUUCUAAGCAAAUAAGAUGUAUAAACAUGAUAAACAUCACAUGCAAUCAAAUAGUGACAUGAUAUGGCCAUCAUCACUUUGCUCCUUUUGAUCUCCAUCUUCGGGGCUCCAUGAUCAUCGUUGUCACCGGCAUGACACCAUGAUCUCCAUCAUCGUGUCUUCUUGAAGUUGUCUCGUCAUCUAUUACUUCUACUACUAUGGCUAACACUUUAGCAAUAAAGUAAAGUAAUUACAUGACGUUUAUGUUGACACACGGGUCAUAAAUAAAUUAAGACAACUCCUAUGGCUCCUGCCGGUUGUCAUACUCAUCAAGAUGCAAGUCGUGAUUCCUAUUACAAGAACAUGAUCAAUCUCAUACAUCACAUAUAUCAUUCAUCACAUCCUUUUGGCCAUAUCACAUCACAAGGCAUAUGCUGCAAAAACAAGUUAGACGUCCUCUAAUUAUUGUUGCAAGUUUUUUUACGUGGCUGCUAUAGGUUGUUAGCAAGAACGUUUCUUACCUACGCCAAAACCACAACGUGAAUUGUCAAUUUCUAUUUACUCUUCAUAAGGACCCUGUUCAUCGAAUCCGACCCGACUAAAGUGGGAGAGACAGACACCCACCAGCCACCUUAUGCAACUAGUGCAUGUUAGUCGGUGGAACCAGUCUCACGUAAGCGUACGUGUAAGGUUGGUCCGGGCCGCUUCAUCCCACGAUGCCGCCGAAUCAAGAUAAGACUAGUAACGGCAAGAUAAUUGACAAUAUCGACGCCCACAACUACUUUGUGUUCUACUCGUGCAUAGUAACUACGCAUAGACCUAGCUCAUGAUGCCACUGUUGGGGAACGUAGCAGAAAUCCAAAAUUUUCUACGCAUCACCAAGAUCAAUCUAUGGAGUAAUCUAGCAACGAGGGGAAGGAGAGUGCAUCUACAUACCCUUGUAGAUUGCUAAGCGGAAGCGUUCAAGUGAACGAGGUUGAUGGAGUCGUACUCGUCGUGAUCCAAAUCACCGAUGAUCCUAGUGCCGAACGGAUGGCACCUCCGUGUUCAACACACGUACAGCCCGGUGGCGUCUCCUACUCCUUGAUCCAGCAAGGGGAGAAGGAGAGGUUGGGAAGACUCCAUCCAGCAGCAGCACGACGGCGUGGUGGUGAUGGAGGAGCGUGGCAAUCCUGCAGGGCUUCGCUAAGCACCACGGGAGAAGAGGAGGACUUGGGAGAGGGGGAGGGCUGCACCAAGACUUGGGGUGCGGCUGCCCUCCCACCCCCCACAUAUAUAUAGGGGCAAGGGAGAGGGGGGCCGGCCCCCUCAGAUCCAAUCUGAGGAGGGGGCGGCGGCCAAGGGGGGUUGCCUUGCCCCCCAAGGCAAGGGGGGCGCCCCCCUUUUAGGGUUCCCCCAAACCCUAGGCGCAUGGGCCCUAGGGGGGAGGCGCCCAGCCCACUAAGGGGCUGGUCCCUCUCCACAUACAGCCCAUAGGGCCCUCCGAGGCAGGUGGACCCUCCCGGUGGACCCCCGGAACCCCUCCGGUGGUCCCGGUACAAUACCGGUAACCCCCGAAUUAUUCCGGUGACCGUAUGAUGACUUCCCAUAUAUAAAUCUUUAUCUUCGGACCAUUCCGAACUCCUCGUGACGUCUGGGAUCUCAUCCGGGACUCCGAACAACAUUCGGUAACCACGUAUAUCUAUUCCCUAUAACCCUAGCAUCAUCGAACCUUAAGUGUGUAGACCCUACGGGUUCGGGAAACAUGCAGACAUGACCGAGACACCUCUCCGGCCAAUAACCAACAGCGGGAUCUGGAUACCCAUGUUGGCUCCCACAUGCUCCACGAUGAUCUCAUCGGAUGAACCACGAUGUCAAGGACUUAAUCAAUCCCGUAUACAAUUCCCUUCGUCUAGCGAUACGAUACUUGCCCGAGAUUCGAUCGUCGGUAUCCCGAUACCUGGUUCAAUCUCGUUACCGGCAAGUCUCUUUUACUCGUUCCGUAACACAUCAUCCCGUGAUCAACUCCUUGAUCACAUUGUGCACAUUAUGAUGAUGUCCUAUCGAGUGGGCCCAGAGAUACCUCUCCGUUUACACGGAGUGACAAAUCCCAGUCUCGAUUCGCGCCAACCCAACAGACACUUUCAGAGAUACCUGUAGUGUACCUUUAUAGCCACCCGGUUACGUUGUGACAUUUGGCACACCCAAAGCACUCCUACGGUAUCCGGGAGUUGCACAAUCUCAUGGUCUAAGGAAAUGAUACUUGACAUUAGAAAAGCUUUAGCAUACGAACUACAUGAUCUUGUGCUAGGCUUAGGAUUGGGUCUUGUCCAUCACAUCAUUCUCCUAAUGAUGUGACCUCGUUAUCAACGACAUCCAAUGUCCAUGGUCAGGAAACCGUAACCAUCUAUUGAUCAACGAGCUAGUCAACUAGAGGCUUACUAGGGACAUGGUGUUGUCUAUGUAUCCACACAUGUAUCUGAGUUUCCUAACAAUACAAUUCUAGCAUGGAUAAUAAACGAUUAUCAUGAACAAGGAAAUAUGAUAAUAACUAAUUUAUUAUUGCCUCUAGGCACUGGUAGAAAAAGGGCCUUUAGUCCCGGUUUGUAAGGGCCUUUAGAACCGAGACUAAAGGGUCGGUACUAAUGCCCUAACCCUUUAGUCCCGGUUCAAUCCUGAACCAGGACUAAAGGCCCUCCACGUGGCCCGUCCACCUUUAGUCCCGGUUGGUAACACCAACCGGUACUAAAGGAAAUUUUCUGAUUUUUUUUUGAAAUAUUUUUUGAAUUUUUUUUUAUUUUCAAAUUUCUGAAUUAUUUUAACCUCUAAUCUCUAAUCACCCCUCAUCGCUGCUCAAUUUAAUCUCUAAUCACCCCUCAUCAUUCCAAAUUAUCUAACUUCCCGAACGGUCACCCAUCCUCUCACUACUCCAGCCUGAGCACGCUUAACUUCCGGGUUCUAUUCUCCCUCGUUUCCAAGUCUGCACUUGUUGUUUUCCUGACAAUAGUAAGAUGUCAAUCCUAUUAACCCUCAGGAAUUUAGCUUGAGCAUGAAGUCACAUAUUUCACUGUUUGAGUUUAAAACUAUUGUUCUAAAAAAUAAUAAAUUUUUACUAACACUAAUAUUUCUUGAAUAAGUAGUUUGACCAUUGUUUGACCACAGUUUGACCAUAGUUUGACCAUAGUUUGACCAGAUUUGACCAAAAUUCAAAAAAGGUGAAAUAAUUAUUUAAUAACACUAAUAUUCUUGAAUAAUUAUUUAGUAACACUAAUACUUCUUGAAUAAGUAGUUUGACCAUAGUUUGACCAGAUUUACUGAAAAUUUUAAAAAACUGAAAUUUGAGCAUAACUUUUUUUCCUUUUGGAAUUUGAGGAUUCUACAAAUUUGCAAACAGGCCAUAGGCCGUCCCCAUCGGAUGUAACUUUUCGAGUAGAUGAUUUUUCAUAUAAAAAACUUUUUAAUCCGAGUUCGUAUGCAAAAGUUAUGCCCAUUUUACAAAUUCCAGAGAGAUUUUGUAAAUAAAGUCGAAAUUCAUAUUUGUAAAUUUUCCCAACAACUAGACCACAUAUCACAUGGAAAACUUAUUUUAUUUUAUUUUUAUUGACAUUNNNNNNNNNNNNNNNNNNNNNNNNNNNNNNNNNNNNNNNNNNNNNNNNNNNNNNNNNNNNNNNNNNNNNNNNNNNNNNNNNNNNNNNNNNNNNNNNNNNNNNNNNNNNNNNNNNNNNNNNNNNNNNNNNNNNNNNNNNNNNNNNNNNNNNNNNNNNNNNNNNNNNNNNNNNNNNNNNNNNNNNNNNNNNNNNNNNNNNNNNNNNNNNNNNNNNNNNNNNNNNNNNNNNNNNNNNNNNNNNNNNNNNNNNNNNNNNNNNNNNNNNNNNNNNNNNNNNNNNNNNNNNNNNNNNNNNNNNNNNNNNNNNNNNNNNCCUGGUUGGUGGCACCAACCGGGACUAAAGGUCUAACCUUUAGUACCGGUUGGUGCCACCAACCGGGACCAAUGGGCAUCGCUCCCUUUAGUCCCGGUUCGUGGCACGAACCGGGACUAAAUGGCCCAGGUGAACCGAGACUAAUGCCUUAGCCACACGAACCGGGAUAAAUGCACCCAUUGGUCCCGGUUCUGGACUGAACCGGGACUAAUGGGCUUACCCGGCCUGGACCAAAGCCCCCUUUUCUACUAGUGAGGGCAUAUUUCCAACAAUUCUCUCCCUCGUGCUAUUGGAUCUUGAGAAGAGAUGAGGCCCUCGCGCACUCCUCCUCUGCUUGCCUCGCCACGCCUCGUCACGACGCACGCGGGUUGCGGGAUUGAGCCGAGCCAAGCUCACUCCUAUGCGCUUCUUUUUGCCGGUCAGGAACGGAGAGUCUUUAACAGGUAGGGCCACGAUCGGAGACGUCGGAUCGUGGGCUACCGACUUGGACGUGGGUUCAGCCCACGUCUCUCCACACGCAGCCGCACAUAUAUAUGUGGGGCGCUGCCAACCCUAGCCGCCACGAAACCGAACGCAUCUCCGCCUCCACGCCCACGUCGUUCCUCUGCUGCUGCCGCCGCCGGCGACUCCGUCCAGUUCACCGCGUACAUGGUUGAUGGGAGAGCAGGCCUCCGAAACCCCGCCUCUCCGGAUCCUGUACGGGAGAGGGGCGAUUAGGUUUUUGGGUAGCGACUACGCGACUGCUCGCUUCUGUUCAUCUACGUCUGCAUCACCUUCGUCAUCACCAUGUCGAUCGACGCCGACCGUGCCGUGCUGAGAAGGCCGAGGCCGACAAGAAGGCCGCCGAGGAUGCCGCGGCUGCUGCCACCGCCACCACCGCCGCGUGGCCGAUUGGAGGGUAUACAUCGUUUAUCCCUCUCGUGUUUCUUUCUGUUGUAGCAGUACUAGCGAUAUGCAUAGAUGUUUUUACUAUAUGCGUAGUACAUGCUCUGUUAGAUCGUAAUCAGUGUGUUAUCAAUGUUGUCCAUGUCAUGCUCAUGAUUUAUUCAUGAAUUAAUUUAAUCGAAAAACUGCCUAUUUUCUUAUCAGUUCCCGUCCCGAUACUGGUCCACUGCCCUCACGUGCGCGGCGGGCAGUCUGCAGUCAGCCGCGGCUGCCGCGGCGGCGACCGUCCUAGCACCCCGCGAGGGCUGGGCGGCGGAGUGGAGGAUGGGGUGGGACCUGCGCCUGGCCACAGUGGUGUACUCCGGGGUCUUCAACACCGGCGUCACGUUCGUGCUCGUGUCGUGGGCGGUGGCGCGUCGUGGGCCUGUGUACCCUCCCAUGUUCAACUCCCUGUCGCUCAUUGCCACGACUGCGGUUGACGCCGGCAUGCUCGGCACUGACCUCUACCUCGACGGUGUUCUCGGGACGGGCCUUGUCGUCAUCGGGCUCUACGCGUUCCUCUGGGGCAAAGGCAAGGAGCUCGCUGCCGCCAAGGCGGGCAACGGCGAGCAGAAGCUGCAGUGUGUACACGCCGAUGAUGGCAUUGCCUAGCGGUUUGGCCUAGCAAGCCAGAGCAGUCCAUACAGAAUUAACUGAACUAUUAGUCCUAACUUGAAAUUGUCCGCGAAUCAACCUGUGGUUGGAUGGUUAGAGGGACUGCGGUAUCCCCAGCUCAUCAGGGUUCAAAUCCUGAUGCUAGCAGUUAUUCCCGGAUUUAUUUCAGGAUUUCCGGCGAUGCGCACUCAGUGGGUGGAGACGUUCCUGUCGACGACGAGGUGCCUACGGUGACUUCGUAUAAAUAUCAAGAUGAUAUGCCGGCUCAGUUUUUCGGAGGUGCUCCUAGAGGUAGGAUGUGCAUGUGUGCAUUCAUAGGGAUGAGUGUAUGCGCGUGUAUAUGAGCGCAAACUUGAAAUUGUCCUUGACAAACACUACUACAUGAGGAUUUUUCUUUUCUCUUUCUAAAAUAGUAUUGUGCUGACGUGGCUAGUGCACGGCAAAUUGAACGUUUUUUAUGGCAAUUCAUAUUGCCACGAGGAUGGCAAAUCUUCACCAAGCACCAGAAAUCCUAUGAUAAGAAAAGAAUGCUAAAGAAAAUUACAAUCCUUAGACAAUAUAAAUUGCCAUAAAAACCGUUUGAUUUGCCAUGCCCUCCAGCAAACAUUUGCUGCUAUCAAAAUCCUUUUUUUUAUACAAGAUCCCUUCUUUGUUAUUGAUGGUCUAAUAAUGAUUGUUAUAAUUAGCCAGUCCAUGUGCACUCUUGUACUAGUAGAAUAAAGAAGGGAUUAGUCAGUCACCGAAACUACUCAAAAAAAGAAAAUAAGAAUCACCGAACCUACUCAGAUGCUAAUUGCUGCUAUAUGUACGAAAGUGCUCUGGUGAGCUCAAGCUCACAUGCACCCUUGCUACAGUAUAAUUUUAAAUAUAUAUAUUUUAAAAAGAAAAAAACUGAAGUUUUUGGCCAACAAACAUUGUUGUGUUUUUCACAUGCGUGCAAACUUUCAUGUCAAAAUGGCAUUCAUGCAGGUCAUGACAAAACAACAAAAUCGAUGCUCCAAAGUGCUUCCAAAACAGUUUUUUAGCAUGAUUUUGCAUUUUUCCCGAGACCUCCACAAAUGUCAUUCCAUCACCAAAAUUGGCCCGCAUGUGAAACACAUAUCAAUGGUUGUUGCAAAAAAGUUUCAAUUGUACUGUAGCAAAUGGUGCAUGUGAGCUCGAGCUCACAUACUCCAUGCCCCUAUACAUACACAUACACAACUGUAUAUACCUUCUAGAGUUGUAAUCGCACUAGAAAUAAAUAAAGUAAACAAUAGCCACACAUGCCCGUGUUUUCUUUCUUCAAAAAAGUGUUGUGAGCUCUGUCAUUUCUAUUAGGAGGAGUGAGAAAUUGUACAUAAUCAGACUACAGAUACACUAGGCCUUGCCUAGGGUUAUGUGCUAUCUAACAGAGGAACAACGCCCAUCAUCUUGAACAACUCUGUGAAAGGCCAUUGCUCUCUCCCUCAUAAGUUCCCUGAUCAUAUAGAGCGUUGUUGUCACUGUCCUAUAUUCAUUCCUAAAAAUCCAAUCAUUUUGUUUGUUCCAUAUUUGUCAGGCGCUGUAAAACCUGACCACAUCGAGCCUCCUGUCUAAUUUCGGUGCGUCCUUCAUGUCGAUCGACCACCAAUCUGCAUACUUGUCCGGAACUGGAGCGGUUGUGGGGGCUGGCUGAAUCUCUUGGAAGCCCGAGGAGGAUGCCAUUCCUACAAAUUUGCGUAGUAGCAAAGUUGCAGGCUAUAAAGAGAUGGACAACGGACUCGGUAGCCGAGCCACAUAUCAGACAAAUUUGCGUAGUAGCAAAGUUUGUCGGUUGUGAGCAGUCCACCAUGCGCUAGAAGGAAAAUCCUGUUGUCACUAACUUGCUAGGAGGGGUCUCCUAUACCACUACCAUAGUUAGCAUGGAACCGUCUUCUCAAAAGUUUAUCAAAUACCAAUUGGCUUACUUGAGCAUAUGAGAACUAACCAUUAUGUAGGAUAUGAAACCGUUCAUCCAUGUUGGAAUUAUGUGUCCUGCAACUAUAUUCAAAUUACUAGGAGUUAAUAAUAUUCGGAAUACCUCAUUAUGGAAUUACUUUACAUGAUUAUUAUGAAAUUAUCACUUGUUGGAACGUACUUAAGUUAUAUACUUAAGGAAGCUGAUCGAUUAUCAGUGGAAUACAAUAUACUAUUUAUAUUGCAAAGACUACCCGGGUAUAGUGAUAAUCGGAAGGAGCUAGAUCGUAUAGUUAGAUUACAGCCCUAAUGUUGAUCUAUAUGAUUAGAGGAAUUUACACUCUAUUAUGACGCGUUGCUCACAAGCGCGUGCUCCAGGGACAUAACGGGUAGAUUCCGUUAACAGACAAAUAUGAUCGUGGUUGAUAAUUUGAUCUGGACUCUAUCCCGGAAACUAAUGAAAAAAAAACUAGGAAUCUUAUAUUUGAAUAAAAGGUGGACUCUUUGGAAAGACAAUAUAAGAAGGUCCCUGCCCCCUAGCCUCAGACAUGCGAAUUGUGAGCUGCACCACGGAUAAGCGCAGAGAAAUAGAGGGUAGACCACAAACCCUAAAUUUCCAACAUUGAUAUCUUGAGCCAUGUUCGGCCGCCGUUGCUUCAACCCAAAAUCCGCUGCGUAAUCUGUCGCCUGUUAGCCGCCGCUCGGAUCCUAAUCCGCUGUGCAACUCUCACGGUCAUCGCCGCCGUAUUUUAUUCGGGUGCUGCAUCCAGGUUCAAGUCUCUGAUUCUUGCAUGUUCACGUGGAUCAAGACGGAGGGAACCAAGACUGCUACGCACGAGUUAUACUACUACUGGACACAGGAAUCAAUAAUGCUCUUCUAAGUACGUGCGCAUAGUUGUCGGUACCUUGCUUCGGAAUCCAGCCCACGGGAUCUUCGACACGCGCCAAGCUAGCUCCAAGUCGGCCCUCAUCGACCUCGAGCGGAACCGGUGGCCUUCAGCCAUGCCCAGUCGACGUCAAGUGGAACCCUGCGCCUCCUGUGGCGGCCGUUCGUCCGUGCACUCGCAAGUUCUCUGCGCUGACAAGGUUGUUGCUACGAUAUCUUCACCCGAGGAUUCGCUAAGCUAAACGAGCCAGCUGCUCGGAAACUGCAUGUCACGUCCACGCCUAUUGCUGCUCCAAUCGAUUUUUUACGUCGCAAGUUCUACCUGAUGACUUGGUGAUUCUUCAGCCAAAACACUCCAUUGCACUCAGAUUGAGGAAGGUAAUCAUAAUCCCAACUUCUGCACCACACGGAUCCAUGUGGACGGCGGAAAGAUUAUAGCCUGAGCAUUCACGUAUACGUAAUUGAUGCUUGCCUCCUGGAUUAUUCUGCUGCCAGUUUUUACUUAGACUGGUUUAUCAAGUGUCUACAAAUUGGUAACGUUUUUUUUCGGCAAUGGUAUUAAAUAAUAUUUUCUUUGAGUCAGUUAAUUCUUGGGGAGAUUACGGUUUGGAAAAGAUAAGCCAUAUUUUUUGUUUCCUGAAGAGAACAAAUGUUUUGCUACUGAUGACUAAAACAAACCGGAAAAGGCCAAAAUUAAAAUGCCACUGUUGAGGAAAAGGGAAAAGGAAAUAUAUAUAUUAUGGAUAGAAAAUGAUUGCAUAAUUCUCUGGGAUCAAUCUAGUGUUCUUUGGCUAAAUAAAUUGCAUGGAAAUAAUGUGCAAUCUGAAACACAUUUUUUGUGGAAUAUCUCUCAAAAAUAUAGAUUGAUGACCUUUUUUAUUUUUGCAAAGUGCAAGUCAUUGUUGUAUUAAACUCUAUACCAAAAUUAUUGCGAUAAUUUUACAUACACUUGUCGUCGUGAGUGGUUAUACAAUCUGCGCUAUAUGGGAUACUAUUUUUUCUAUUGAGGAAGACAGAAAAACUCUUCGAGGGAAUGAUCUGGUCAAUUAUGGUUGACUACACCUUGAAGAGGAAGAUACAAUAUUUCAAAUAGAAUUGGCUAAGAGGAACUGUCUAUUAUGGAACAUCACUUAUUUAUGGAGGAAGGUAGAAACCACUAUGUGGACAAGGAAAAUUGCUCUUCAUCUGUCAGUAUGUUUAAUGAUAUUAUUUGCACUAUAUUUAUUUAUUUGGGGCUACUUUUUCAAGUAGUUGGAUUGUGGACAUGUCUUAUUGCUGGAAUACAAUAGCAAUUUAAUUGACAUACAAACAAUUUCAAAGGAAAUUAUAGUAUUUAUGUGCUUUGUCAUUGCUGCUAAAUCUGCUACACUUUGGAAUUGGAAAUUUUGCCAUGAAACUCCCUUGUGGAGGAAAACUAUUAUUGUUAUAGAGCACUCUGUGAAACUUCAGUGAGAAGGUAUUUGAUUUAUUGUUCUAUCUUUGUGUCUAUUGACUGUCAUUCUAUUUGGAAAAGGAAGAGUAAACAUAUUGCUCAAUGGUAAAAUUAGUACAUUAUGGAAUUUUAUACGAUGGUCUCUUAUUUGUUGAUGGUCCAAUGAAUGUUGGCAACCCAAACUGUUUAUUUGGGGAAGAUAACUCCACAUGGAGGAAUACCUACAAUGGGAAUACAUGCUUGGAAUCUCAAUAUUUAUGCCAUGUACGACUUGGACACAUAUCUUGGAAUAUGAUUAAGUGGUUCAUUAUUUUGGAAUUCUAAAUAUUAGUGGGAGGACUAUCGUACUCGUGAAGCAUAUAUAAUGGUUAUUUCUGGUUUACACACCUUUUCUUAAGGUGGAAGGAGAUAAAAAGUUUCACAUCAUUUUUUUCUCUCUUCUGAUAUACUUAUGGUAUUUUUGGACACUCCCACUAGAGGUCAGAUUAUUUAUUUCAUCUCACUCUUCGAUGAUUACACUUUUAUAUGGUUAUGUUUAUCUUUUAUUAUUCAAGUCAGAAAGUUUUAUUAUGCUGGUCACAUGUUAUACUGAAGUGGAAAAUCAGUUGAUUAAAAAAAUCAUAGUUUUAGCAACUGAUUGGUGGGGGGAGUACACGUCAGGAAUAUAUCUUUUUUAGGUAAAGAGCAUGGAACUAUUCACCAUUGUAAUAUACAGUACACUCCACAAAUGAAUGUCUUUGAUACUCCCUUGUUUCUUUGGAAGGAAGCAUUGCAUACUGUCAUUUGUUGAUAUCAUUAUCCAUCUAGCACAGUCACUUGACUGGAAGGAAAUCUUCUAUUUUGUCAUGAAAUUCUCAGUUAUUACAAAGCGCACACCAGGAAUUUUUUUUCAUGGUUAUUCUAGUGGAUCAAAGGGUGUUUCCUUAGUUAUCUGAAAAAGGAAUACUGGUGGAAAGUAGGAGCACAAUUAUUUUAUGGAUAACGAUGGAAUUAUUGGCAAUCAUACUAGAAUAUAAAUUUGACCCCAAAUGAGACUACAAGUGAAACUCCUGACACUAACAUGGUUAGGAUAAGUGGGAGGAAUUAACUUGGAAUGUCAUAUCUGGAUAAUUGUUAUGUGUUUUUUUGGGGGGAAGUUACUCUAAAUUUUAGAGGAAUAACUGAAGUUUCUUAAGAAGGCUUAAAUUUUCAUCAUCUUCAACUAUGGGUGGAAGAAAUGUGGGAAGGAAUAAACUCAACGAGGAAUUAUAUUGUUUGGGAACUUAUUAUCAUACCAAACAACCACAAGCCCAUUGUUUGUAAGUGUUUUUAUUUAUUAGUAAGGAAUUUUGUCUCCUUAGAAUAUUAUAAUGUCACUCUUGACAUUCGGUUCUUUGCACAAAGGGAAAUAUACGUUGUAAAAAACUCUCUCUUGGAAUUUUGGGAAAGAGGAACUAAUGACAUGGUUUGCUAACUGAAUACGUUAUGUAUAGUCUUAUAACAAGCUUCGCAUCAAUGGAAUAACAUGUCAUGUCAUUUUCUAAAUGAAGAAAGGAGUUCAUCUACAAAUGUAAGUGUAAAAUAUUUUUGCAUUAUCAUUGUAUACAUUAACAUUGUUUUGUUGUUUGCAAUGAUAAAAUCACGUUGAUGGAAGUGAAAGCUUGGUCAUGUUUUAACUUUCAUAUGAAAGGAAUGUUUGAAGCUUCCUAUGUCUUGGGAGUGGAAAUACAUAGGGAAUGUUUUGAAACAUUUUUUCUAUGGAAAAUUGCAAACCUAUUAAAGCACCUCUGGUGAAGGGAACGACACUCAAUGAGGAAUUAUUGUUUAACUCAUGAGGAAAAGGAAGGAAUAAAUGGUACUGUAUUUUUAAAAUGUAUUUUUCAUUAUACAAAAUACCUUAGCUAUCGCAAUUAUUUGCUGCAUUUAAGCAGUGGAAGGAUAAAAGGGUGGUUAAGGGAAUCCCACACAUCAUGAUCAUGGAAAGUGCAUCACAAUGUGACAUUUAUUCUAGGAAUCGUAUUAAAAGUAAACACAUUGCGGAAGCUAUUACUAUAUUUUACGAGAUAAGAAAUAAAUCCAGGUAUGCAUAUUCAAUUUUUGUAUUUUGUACUAAUAUGGUGCAGGUUCACUGACCGAAGUUAGGAAUUUCUUUCCAAACAUGGUUACUGAUGGAACUUCAUCAUCUGAUUGGAUUUGAUAUUUAUUUGGUUUUUGGAAACUUUAUUCAAGAUGGUUAUCUUCUAUUUGACUAAAUGUGGAAUUACUCAUGUUAUUGAUAUAUGUGACUGAAAAUAAUUGAUGCGGAAUUUCACUUGAGGAAACAAAAUACUCAAGGUGCCUAUAAAGGUGCACUCGAGGAAAAAAUACUCGAGGCACCAAGGACAGGUGUGCUGGAAUAGUUAGGCGGAAACUAAAGGUCUCUAAUGAUCUUAAGUGUCACAACAAGGAAACAUAUUGAGGGAAAGUAUCACAUUUUAGUGUGGGUUUUUCAACAUAGUGCUAAUAUGAUUGCUGAUCCCUUGACUAAGCCUCUUAGUCAGGAGGUAUUUGAUAAGCAUGUUAAGGCUAUGGGUUUACGAAUAUUUGAAUGAUCGUUUUGGACAAGUGGGAGAUGUUGGAAUUAUGUGUCCUGCAACUAUAUUCAAAUUACUAGGAGUUAAUAAUAUUCGGAAUACCUCAUUAUGGAAUUAUACAUGUAUUUAUGCAUGGAAUUACUUUACAUGAUUAUCAUGGAAUUAUCACUUGUUGGAACGUACUUAAGUUAUAUGCUUAAGGAAGCUGGUCGAUUAUCAGUGGAAUACAAUAUACUAUUUAUAUUGCAAAGACUACCCGGGUACAGUGAUAAUCGGAAGGAGCUAGAUCGUAUAGUUAGAUUACAGCCCUAAUGUUGAUCUACAUGAUUAGAGGAAUUUACACUCUAUUAUGACGCGUUGCUCACAAGCGCGUGCUCCAGGGACAUAACGGGUAGAAUCCGUUAACAGACAAAUAUGAUCGUGGUUGAUAAUUUGAUCUGGACUCUAUCCCGAAAACUAGUGAAAAAAACUAGGAAUCUUAUAUUUGUAUAAGAGGUGGACUCUUUGGAAAGACAAUAUAAGAAGGUCCCUACCCCCUAGCCUCAGACAUGCGAAUUGAACGCCGUUUCGAAUUUAGCUCAAAACAUUAUUAUUUUUAGCAAGUACGCGAGGAUAGGAAUUGUAUUUAUAAUUUUUUGCCACAUUCCGAAGAACGUAUGACUUAGGCUUAGGGGAGACUUAAAUCACCAAUACUCAAAUGCCGCAAUAAUGAGUUUUCCAAAGAGAUGAUCAUUACAAAUUUCUAAGCAAGACUUCCUCAACAUGAUAAAGAAGCGCUUGAUAGUUCUUUUGGUUGUUUAAGUUAUGUAUAAAAGCAUGUGGACAAAAUUACUAGGACAUACAUUUUCAGUUUUUUCAUCAUUGAUGAUAUGAAUAAAACAUUCAUAGUCAGGCCUUAAGGUUCUCAAUCUAGUGUUAAUGCACGAAAUUCUAUUCUAAUAUGCAUGGUAAAAUAAUGUACAAAUUUAUACCGCAAUAACGAUUCAUCCACAAGAUGCUUAGCAAACUCCAAAUUUGAACACUAAUAGAAAGGGAUAGAGCUCUCAAAUUUGAACAAUAAUAGAAAGGAAUAGAGCUCAGCAUCGUGGCCCCACCGCGGCUGAAGAAUGAGGAAGCACAUGUCGGGUCUAUGACCGCGCACACAUGCAUGGUAGACCCGGCGUCUGACGGCUGGGCGGAAUGCAACUUUUGGAUCAGACAGAGUCCACACGUUGCCACAGCCGAUGGGACAAAACGACGGUGUUCAUGAAGGAGUAAAGGUGCGGUGGCACUAGAUUGUCGAUCCACUUCUUUGCGACGCACGAUGUCGGCCGUGGCAUCAGAUUCUCUCCGAGCGACGGCGCCGGAACAGAGGGGAGUUACAAGAGGAAGGAAUGCGGGUGGAUAGAAACUGUGAAGGAAGGGGGAGAGGUGCUGCUGGGAACGGUGAAAAGAGAGUGGCACCAGGGACGGUUAGUGAGAGUUUUGAUUGUGGGGCAGCAGUGUAUGACUAAUUUUAAUAGGCCGCGAACAAACCAACACUGACCAGAUGGAAAACUGAAGGGUCUAAUUUGAAUAGGCUACACAUACAAGUCAAAUAUAGAAGACAGUUAGUGAAAACGUUUGGUUCAUUUUGGUCAGCGGAGCACGUUAUCACAGAUCGACCAUUUUUGUACCCAUCUGUGAUAUGCAUUUAGCAGAGCCAAAUAAACAUUUUCACUGAUGCCUCGGGAGUGGCCAGUUAGUGCUAAUGCUCUUUACUGCCGUAUCAUGUGGUCAUGGGAUGGUCAGUGAUGAGAGGUUAGUGCUAUUCGGAUCUGUAGUAGUGUUGAAGCGCUUCGGGCAUAUGGAGGAGAUCGAGUCAACCAAAGAGUGAGGUCUUUUAUAUAGAUGGCCGGACUAAGAGGCGAAGAAGGUCUUUGGCAUGGACAGCUGGAUAGGCAACUUUGGAGAUUGCCUGAAUGUAAAAACUUAUUGAACAUCCGAUGCUUUUUUAUUGUGAUUGCAUAUGCUUACAACUAUUAAAAGUAUGUUUAAAUUGUUAUUGAUCUUGGUAUGCAUGUCAAAUGGAGGAGGCCGGAGCAGGGGCGGACAUUUGAUGCCUGCGGUUGGACGACCUUCGCUGCCCUAAAACUGUUCAUGAACACAUCCAGAUUUCCAGACAUGCAUGUUUGUAGACAUCUCUCUGCAUUCUGCAAGCGAACAUCCCUUAGUCGACGGAGGAGGAGCUGCUGGAGUUCUACCUCAAGCAGCAGAUCAGUAGCAACAAUAAGAAUCAGCAGCUUAAGGCGUGACGAGCGCUGGAUUUCACUCUGCAUGCAACACAAAGGAGUUAGCAUGAGCACCGCUGAAGCUCUGCUUCUGAUCGGUGGAUCUUCAAGGCAUGUACAUGGUCGGCUUUCGUGCCAUUGGAGAUGGCGUGCUUGGCGAACUCAAUGGCUCUUGAUGAACAGUAAAAGAAAAAUCUGCAAUGCUUUGUGGCAAACUUUGACAAACGCUUUGUGUGUUUGCCAAAAUUUGUCAGAAAAUGACAAUUGGAAAAAACUCAGAUGCUCCAGAAAUGCUAUUUUAGAAAGCAUUUAGGAGUGCUCAUAUUGCUUUUUUUUGCCAUGAACUCCACGAAUAUCAUUUCUGCUAAAAUCUGUCAAGCACACAACAUUUAUCAAAGUUUGCCAAGAUAAAUUCAGAAAUUAUGAUUUCUUUUGGAUUUACUGUUCAUCCUGAGCAGAAAAGGACUUCGAUGCUGAUGAAACCUUUUUGGACCCAUGUUGAGCACAGCAGAAUGGAGCUACCUUCUGCUGCUACUCAACUUGCCCUCCAAAGAAUCUGAUUGCCAAGAGAUGCAGGUCACCAACCUAGUCGUUGGGGCCAGACUUGUACCGAUGUUUCUUAGGACAACUGUUCAUCACUGUGCCUUAAAAUGAUAACCGUAGCUGCAAACAAACUUACAGUGCCGAAAAAUACGACAAUCUCCCCAACCCGUCUCUUAACGGCCCUGCUUUAGCCUUAGUACAGGUCCAUCACAUCAAGAUGGUACGUUCUUAAGCUAGUAGAAUUUCAGGGUUCAGAUUAGGGGUUACAAACACUUCAUACUUGCUAGACAUGAUCAGCUUGUGCUUCAACUGGAUCAGCAGCUUGAGGACAAGAUAGGCGCACAUGCAUCGAGAUGCACUUCAUCAGGUUAGAAUUGUUUUCGCUGCCGCUGAUAUAUAAUUUCUUCUUCCACAUCUAUUCCUUCCUCAAGCUCGUGCCAUUUGGGAUAGCACCAAAAUGGCUUAGGCACGGGCCAUCUGUCCAGAGUAACACAUAAAUAAGCUGCUAAAAUAAUAUACAUCUCUAGCAAGCAGUGUUAAUGAACGCGUAGUAAAUAAACAAUACCUGUUUGGGCUAUCAUCAUCGUCUCUAGCAACAGUCCUGCAAACAGGCCAAAAAUAGUUUUACGUACAAGAACAAACACACGCGUGUGAGGACAAGAUCAAAACCACGUAACAUCAGUUCACUACUUCAUAUGUCUGAACAAUAAGAGGCGAAAUGGCUCAACCGCAAAAGCAAGUUGGGAUUUAAGAACUAGCAUGAGUUCCAAAUUAAAAGUAACCUGAAAAAUAACAACCAAAACCAACCCAUAUUUACCAUUAUAGUUCCAGGUUAGAGUGAUGCAAUGAGAGAUACGAUACAAUACUUCCAUAAUCACAAAUGUACGUACAAUCAGGCAUGCUCAGCUGUCGGCCACAACCACAGGACGGUCUUUAUCGCACCAGUGUCAUAUGUUAUUUCUCAUAUGCACAACAGUUCUAUUCAAGCUUCUAAUUAAUGUGCUCAGUACAAGAAGAUCAAAAUGGCGACAAAUGUCCUGUCGAGGCUACUAAACUUCCUCAAGAUUGCAUAUUAUUAUGCACACGCAAGACACCUGCAUACUGUACAAAAAAUUACAUAAAUAUAGAGAGCAUACCCUUGUACAUCAAAAUUCUUCAAGACUUUUUGAAUUAUAUUCACUGGUAUGUAUGGAGCCUCUUCCAAGCCAUAGAAGUUCAUGCCAAUAAAAUUUCCAUCAAAAUCAAUAAGAGGCCCUCCAAUCCCAGCCUAGCACACAAAAGUAAUGAAUAGGAAAAGACAGUAUUUGUAAGCCAUACAGAUGUGAUGAUGGAUUUAAUUACUCAUUCUGACGCAACUAUUUAUUUCCACCACACGAAAAGACACAGCGUACCUUGGUGAUUUUACAGGUGGAAAUCUUAAGCUCUUUGCAACCAAGCUUACUUGGUUUGUCAAUCACGAUCCCACUUGUGGCCAUUAAUUUGUCUGAUUGGUAGAUGCGCCCUAUAGCUACUACCUCCUUCUGAGGUUUAAUUAGCAUCUGGUUAUCGAUUUGUGCUGUCUGAGUACAGCAGAAAUUCUUGAUGUGGACUACGGCAAUGUUAUAGUGUAGACUGUAAUGUUGCAAUGUCCCUCUGGUAUGACGAUUAUCUGGAAGGCACACUACAAUCUGCAAUUAAUGAUAUGGUAAGACUAAACCAGUGAUAUCAUGAAUAAGUAGAAGGGGCAAUUAAACAAUUGUUAGCAGAGUAACAACCUUAAGGUUAUCAGCAACCUUGUUUUCAUCGUCAAAAGUUCUAACCAAACUUGCCGAGGUCAGAACUCUUGUGGUGGACCCAUUGCAGUCUAUGAAUACGCCCGUGCAAGCAAAACACCUUGUUUUUCCUACAAGAGUAAUGACUUUGAUAAUUUAGUGAAGAAAUUGGAAAAAGAAUAUUGAAAGUAAACGAGCUUAUAAUGAAUAUAAUUACCACUGAACGAAGCCAAUGCAACAACACUUUGAGACAUAUUUGAAGCAACGUUUCUUUCGAGUUUACUCCAGAUAUCUUCACUAAAUUUCUCUUCAAAAUUGUUAAGCAAACGCAUGCCCACUGGCAAAAGCAAUAAAGAUUCAGUAGUGGAGGGGAGCUGGAGAGACCAGUCAGAUGACAGACAUUCCAACAGAAAAGAGUAAAUAUCAAAAGGACACGAAUGAACUCACCAUUCUGCCAAACUGGGAGGGGAUAACCAUUGGAACUCAGCUCCUUUUUUGUAGCAACGCCUAAAUUUUGCAAGAUAGUUAAGUGAUUGAUGACCCCAUGUAUAAUGAUGGUCAGGAAAACUGCAAGCAAUGACUCACCAAAAUAAGGAUAACCCGGCCGCCCAGAACAUAAAGACUUCCGCUCUAAUAAUAAUCUAUCCAUGAGUCCUGGUGCCACAGGGGUGAAACAAUUAAUGACUGUGAACAAUGAUCAAUAAUCAACAUUAAAAGUGAUCCAACCUGGUUGACAUUCUGGAUCACAGAGAGUACAUAUGGAAGGUUUCUGAUCCUUAAGUUUCUCUCCCUUCCUUGAGCUGUCUAAAAUGGAGAAGAUUGGAGAAGGGAAAUAAGCAGAAUUUAGAACACUGAAAAGCAGUAUGAAGGAGUAUAUUCUCAUAUUCAUAUACUACACUGAAGUACUUAGAAUGAACUAAUUAAUUGGCAUAUCAAAUAUGUUAGCAUGAUAAUAGGUGCAACCAUAAAACUAAGUAUGUGGUUCUAAAAAAAACACACUAAGUAUGUACCCAGAUUCUACAAAUGAUUGUUGAAAAUUAACAUUGGUGGUGACUUUGGCGAGGAAUUGCCUGGUACUGUGAUGAUUGUGCACAGAUUAGCAAUCUUAAGGUGCUUUUCUCACCUUCUGAAUCAGGCUUAUAAGGUCUGGGAAAUCUUUCAAGUUUACUACCAGGUCCUUUCUUAUUUAUAGCACUGCAGCAGAAUGCGAUAAGCUGAUCGGAGUAAUAGAGAAAUCCACAAAAGUAAAAUAUGGAUGAUAUGUAUGCAUGGAUACCAAACAAUAAUACAAAUUUCAAUGUUUAAAAGGGGCAAAUCAGGAAAAUUGUUGAUUGGGGUCAGAUUGCACUAAACAACAAUACAAUGGGGAAAACCCUAAAACCUAAAUAUUUAUUGUGUUAGAUUAUUGUAUAGACGAAAAUAUUUAUUAAAUAUAAAUAGCAUAAGAUGGUGGAAAGCUUUUCCCAUGCGUGUUGUGUUGAGUGACAACAAAAAACAAUAAAAUGGAGAUAAUAUUAUACCAAACCUACCAGGGAACCUUCACUACCUUAUCAUUUAAACAAGUAUUAAUAGCUUAAACAUGGACACCCGAGUCCCAAUUGUGUACAGGGCAACUGCAAGACAUCAUGACAAGACAGGUGGUAUGGAUUGUCAAGGUCACACCUACGUUGCACGGAUACUUGGAUACGUAUCGGAUACGCGAUACGGGGAUACGCCCGAUACGCUAAUUUUCUGAAAACAUGGAUACGGCGAUACGUUUAUAUGUAGAUAUUACAUAUAUUAAUUAUUAAAAAUAUUGAAAACAAAAUAGAGCUUCUAGGUCAAAGCAUGCCUCAAUAGGAUUAUUCCUUUUGUUUUCUUGCACUUGGUCCACUUUCAUUAAUUAGCAGUGGGAUUUUCCCGGGUUUGUUGUUCCAAGUAGUGCAUCGAUUCUCUCUUGCUCACCUUUCAAUUGAACAAGAACAUUGACAGUCAUAUUUUGGCAUGAACUCACACCCAUGUUGGAUAUCUUCAAAAGGUGUGCCUUUACUAUUGAGGGGAUUUCACGUCAAACCAGGGGUUUUGGGUAUCCAAACAGUAUCGUAGAAGUAUCCUAGGAGUAUCAAAUAUUAUUUUCUUUUUUUUAAAUCGAAAAACCAAGGGAUACUUACGGGAUACGUAUCGGGUUGUAUCAGGGCAGUAUCCGAGUAUCGGGGCAGUAUCCAGCUGGAUACGCGCGCUUUCUGAAGUAUCCGCGCAACGUAGGGUCACACUGCAGCUUAUCCAGCCCCAGAUGUCACAAACAACUAAUUUGUUAUCAAGGGAGAUGUUGUCAAAUGCAGAUCAUCUACCAGAUGCAAGUAUUACAAAAAAAUCAAAACAACGCAUUUCAGAAACUGUUUGACAUUCAGCAUGAUUGGUGGUACCAUCAAACCUCGGCUAUUGAUGAGCGGAAUUAUUCUUAUGUACUUAGUUCAUUCAUUUUGUAUGUCUACUGAUGUGUGGUCAGCCUACUGGAAAUUCCAGGUUGAAUAACAAAUUCGCAUGAAGCAGAACAGAUGGCCUAUAGUCAUCCAGGAAAUGUUUUAGUUAGACUAGUUGUAUGCCGUUAUCGAGAACAGAAUGUGCUCAAUCAAGUUUAUUUGCAAAUCAGGCCAGGCGUUAAGUGCAUGGCACUAGUUUCUGUGCUAAAUAGUACUCAUUCGCUCAAUAUUACAGUAAUCGAGCAUGUUAGACUCCUCACUACAUACCAACUUGUGAUCAUGCUUUAACUGUUCUUAGCCUUGUACAACACAUGCAGUAAUUCAAACAAUCUGAUUUCAUAUUCUAUACAAAAAUCCUGCACAUUCUUUUAGAAUGCAUGAAUUGUUAACACAAUUUUUGUUAACAAAUUUUCCAACAACGCAAGAGAUUUAUGUAAUGUGUUGUUAGCUGCAGUAUGAUGUCAUAAGAAGCCACUAUUGUAUUAAGUGUACUCUUGAUUAAGCUUUCCACCAUUAUUUAUCUUCCUAAGCAUGUGUGACCCAUGUGCAAAAAAGCUAAUAAGACAGUAUGGAGGACAAGAGUAGAAAAGCAAUCAGAGUAAGUAUGGAGGACAUACAACCACUGAAUUGUUUUCCUGAACUGCGACAGGAGUUCAAGAAUUUUAAUCCUUGGUAGGAAUGGAGUUUCUUUCUCAGCAUAAAAGUUCAUCCCAAUGAAGUCCCCAUUAAAAUCAACAAGGGGCCCUCCAACUCCAGUCUAGGAAAAGAAUAAAGUGACAGUGAGCCAAGCACAAAGAUGAAGGGAUGCUGAGACAGUUUUUUUUGCUAUGUAUAGAAAGUGAGAAAUUAACACCGCACCAUAGUAAUUUCACAUGUGGAGAUGGCAAGCUCCUCCCGGUAAGCUCCUUUUGGAUUGUCAGUCAACAUCCCAGCUGUGGCCAUUAAUUUUCCUGAGUUGAAGCAACGCCCUACGGCAACUACUUUACUGUGAGACUCAAAUUGCCGCUGAUGAUCUAGACAUGUUACUUGAAGAGAAUGGCAGCAAGCGAUAUUGAUAACCGCAACAUUGUAUUUCAAAUCGUAGAAUUCCAACCAUCCCAGUUCAAGUGUGUUAUCCAGAAGGCGCACUUCAAUCUGCAUCAAUAAAGCAAGGCAACAAGUAUAUAGCCUGGUUAGCAGAAUUAUUUUAACAUGAUAUUAAAUAAGCAAGCAAUAGUGUACAAAAAGAAAGUUGGGAGUACCAACCGUCAUAUCGUGAAGGAUCUUGGUGUCAUCAUCAACAGAUCUAACCAAACUUAAUGAAGUCAGACAACUUGUAAAAGUAGGCUUGUUUACGAUAAUUAUGCCCGUGCAUGCAAAAAACACGGUCUUUUCUGCACAAUAUGGUAUUUCCAAAUUCUCAAUCAUGAAGUACUAACAAAUAGACAUAGAUAAAAUUUUGCAAAGCUAGUGUCUAUAAUCACCAUCAGCAAAUGAAGCAAGCGAUACAACAGUGCCCGCUAAGUUUGAGGCGAUUUCUUCACUGAGUUCCAUCCAGACACCUUGACCAGAAUCACUUGAGCUGCCAAAUUCCUCUUCGAAAGGAUUGUCCGGACGCGAAUUUCCUAGUUAGGGAAGCAUCAUCAUGUUCAUAUCAUACAACACAAUUCUGAUCGUAAGUUGCAGAAGAAGGAACAAGCAGCGAGACUGAAACCAGACAGCCAGUGGCUCACCUCGCCAAGCUGUCCAUACUUUUUGUAUCUUGGUCUGGCUUCUCGUGCAAACGCCUUCUCGCUUCAUAUUGUCAGCCUGGAGUGGAAAUAGGCUCUAGCAAACGCGGAUCUAGAAUAUGAUAAACUGCGAACGCCAUUGGGGUUCAGCAAAUCGUUCAGCCGCAAGGGAGGAAAUCAAACCAUCACGACAAAAGAGGGGAGGGUGGGGGUUCAGCUAAUCACUGGAUGAAAAAAGCUCGUACCGCAAAGAUCAAAAGCCCCAGAAAUCGCAGCCGGGUGGAGACAGCAGGGAGGAACGGCGAUGGCGAUGGCGAUGGCGGCGCGCGUGGGGGUGGGGAGUGGAGGAUCAACCCUAGGGCAGGGCAGGCGGCGGUGGGUCGGGUCGGGUUGGUAUGUCACGGCUCGGGAGAAGGGCAGGAAAAGAUGGAACGGGACGGGACGGGACGGGGACGCCGAUCAAUUUUCACCGUGGAUGCAAACUUGCACAAACUGUUUGGGCAAAGGCCGGCCUUCUGGAGUUAGCAGUUUCAUGUGAGUCUACAGCAGAUUUCUUGGGCUCUGACAUACCACAAGAGGCACAUGGCAAUCUCUGGAAUGUUUUCUUUGCAGCUGCUGCUGUUGCGCUCUGGCAUGCUCGGAACGAGCAAGUUUUCCACAACAAGUGUUGGACAUCUGCAAGGGUCCUUCUUGAAGUGGCCGACCUGAUCAAGUUAUGGACUCUGCGAGCACCGGCGGGAAAUGUCAGGGAACGUUUAUAUUCUUGGGCUGAUGUAAUGGUGCGAGAAUAGCUGCAAAGCUUUUUCUGUUUCCUUUUCUCCCCUUCCUUCCUACCCUCCCUUGUUUUUCUUCUCAGGCUUGGCGUUGGCCUGCUGCACGUUCUGUGCGGCGCUCAUAACGCCUUCAUGUAAAACGACUUUGGUCGCUCAGGCUACGGCCUGUUUUGAAUGCAUAAGCUAGAACAUGAUCUACCUUUUCUUUCAAAAAAAAAAUUCACCGUGGAGGGGGAGAGCCGGAUUACCUUUGUUAGAUUUACAGAUUUUUGUACACUACUAUACGAUUCGUGUGGCCACGGAGAGCAAAAGGAAAAGCUUCUUCUCUUUUCUUUCGAACACGGUACAUACGCAAACAAAUCUUCAACAUUACCUUCAAAUCAAACCCUAUUUUCGUCCGCGGACUGGUGAGGAGCGGUGCCCAGACAUUGAUGCAAGAGCCAGCCAUCCAACCUUGCCCACAUAAAUUUCAAACAAACUUGAAUAAAUUUGACACAUUUUAUCAAACACGACAGAUUUCCGCAUAUUUCAGAUAUAAUAAUUUACAUAAAACAGACGAUAUUUAGACUGUUCAACUAUUAAAAGAAACCUAGGAGGCUAACUUCAGGCGGAGACGAUCUCCUACAUGUGGCCGGCAGCACCCUUGUCACUGUCUACGUUGUCAUUGUCGUCCUUCCAUCGAUGGAAGGGCGCAGGGGCGCAACAGCCUUGCCCGACCCCCGCCUGGCACUCAUGGAGGAGCCGUUUUGCUUCCUCUUGCGCUGUGCGGAGGGCCGCUAUGGCCAAUGCCGACCCAGACCUUGGUCCCUUGGCGGCGGCAUUGGCCCUGCCAGCAAUGGUGGAGGUGCCGCUUAGUGACCAUUCCUCAUCAAUCUUGGCGAGCUCCCCGUGGAGAAGGUGGCACCGCCGCUUGGGCGUCUUCGUGGUGGUGAGAUACUGGUCAAGAGCUCAGGCCGCCAGCAGGUCGGGGUCGUUGCGGACUCAGCCUGGCGCCUCGUCCGACUUGGCAAACACAGAGUGGCGUGUCGCGUUGCGCUGCUCCUGCUCGCCGCCCUGUCCUCGAUGGACACAAUGGACCACAAUUAAGAGUUGCCGCCACCGUGGUAGUGGAGGAUGCGCCCGCCUGCCUUCGCGAUCACGGGUGGCAGCUCCUCCUUGAUGACAUGGCCACGCCAAUUGCGAUGCGGCGGCGGCGAUGACUCCUGCUUGACGCGGCGGAGAGACGAUGUUGGCUCCUGCUUGACACAGUAGUGUAGCGGGCAGUGCAGCUCCUCCUUGAUGACAAGCGGCAGCAAGGGCGUCACUGAACCACAUUCAGGAGGGACCGCUCCGUUAGCAGCCCGAUCUGAUGCACUAACUCCUCGUCCGUCGCCGUGGCCUCUGAGAGGAUGCAUGGUUGAUGAUGGAGCAGCUGCUGCGAUGACACCUCGUCGUCGCUAGAGGAGAUGACGAUCUCCUCCUUGCUAGAGCAGCCGACGGCCGUGGAUCCCAAGGGCCCCAGCGAUGAUGGUCUCGCCAAGAUCCGGAGCCGCCAGCGCCGCCUGUUGCCGCAAAGAACCAAGACUUGGGCAUGGUGUGGAUGCAGAGAGGAGGAGGGGGUCAGAGAAGAGGUUGAGUGCGGAGGUGUGGAUGUGGACGUCGCUGGAGCAUGGAAUAUAUAGCCGCAGCCAGGCCAUGAGAACAAACCGUUGGAAAUAUGCCCUGGAGACAAUAAUAUUAUAUUAUUAUAUUUCCAUGUUCAUGAUUAAGAGUUUGUAUUUCAUGCUAUAACUGAUAUGAUCCUGGAAUAUGCGAUACAUCGCAAAAUUCAUAUGCACGUGUGAAAUGAUAAACGACAAAGUAAGAUUCCUAGUCUCACCUCUGAGACUUACUCAAGUGUUGUUGGUCAUCAUGUUCUCUAGAUCUUAGGAUAUCGUUAAGUGUCACAAUAGUCCUAAAACAAUUAUGAGAGUAUGAUGUUAGAAGAACGAUCAUAUUGAAUCGACCCCAACUUGUUUGUUAUACUUUGAGAUAAUAUCUUCUGAAAUCAAAUUGUUAUAACACGGAGUGUUAACGUGUGUUUUAGUUCCUUAGACCACGAGAAUAUCGUAGUCACUUCUUACUGUACGGUGGACUUUGGGUUGCUUAAAUGUCAUCUGUAACACAGUGAUCAUAACGACAACUUACAGGUUCAUCGAAAAGUUUGACAAGGGACUAGAUAGCUCGAGAGUGGGAUUUGCUCCUCCGACGAUGGAGAGAUAUUUUUAGGACCCUUUCGGUGUGUCGACAUCCAUCAUCGUUUGGCCAGACAUAGAUGACUGCGUCACGGGGAUGCUGGAAAACGUCAACAAGAAAGAAAACGAAAUCAGUAGCAAGGAGAUCGGUAUAGUGAGCUAUGAUGACUCAAGGAUAUUGAUGCAUCUCAAGUUUUGUAAAGUAUCAUGAAACAAAGGAAAUAUCAAAUGAUAACCAAAUGUUCACUCGAAUGUCAUUCAUGUAAUCAUAGAGAUCGAUAUGGAUGUCCACGGUUCCGCUAUCGGUCUUUAAAGGAAGGGGUUUUAUUCAUGUCUAUAUUUUACCGAACCUACGAGGUCACAAGCUUAAGGUAAUCAGAAUCUGUUGGGUGUUAGUAGGACAAGAGUAUCAAUGAUUUAUUUGUGGAAUUGUUUCAUUAGUAUUCGAAAUAGUGCCGUGUGUGAGACGACAUACACAGGCGCGACACAAUGCCCCAUAAAGUCUUAGCCCCAUCUUAAAUCGAUCAAAGUUAAUCAGUCCGUGUGCGGAAAAUCCAGCCUUCGUGGAUGAGCAACGGGCACUGUACGAGUCCAUGCGCUGCACCCGCGCCAUCCGCGGUGGUUGCACAUCAUGAGGCAUAGGCGAUGGAAGUGAUCACGGACGGGAAUGUUACGGAUGUUGGCAGCUGCGCAUCGUUUGCACCGCCCACGCUGUCCGCGUCGGGCCUGACGACCACCAGGUCAGCCCAUCCACGUUUAUCAUGGACUUCACCUUGGCCGGCAACAUCCACGACUAGGUGGUAGACUCCGACGAGGAAUAGUAGGACAUGGAAGACUGACGUGUCCAUGUCCGAUGAAGAGCAGUACGUGGAACACAACAUGAACAUGUCCAUAGCCGGCGAGGAUUUAGAUUUGGUCAGGUUUAAAUGAAAACUGUCCCGUUUGUAUGAAAUUUGUCUUUUUCGUUCAGCACUGUAUGAAAUACGGACGAAUAUUUACCGAAAAAGGGUCCCCUGCUUUGUAUCCAAAGCAAAGAACACCAAAUACAUAGACAAUGUUGGGGCGAGCAGCACAACAAGCCCAAAGGGAAAAGGAAGAGGAAACAAAUGCCAACAACGGCAAUGACCCCGAGUGGUUAUACGUGGCAAUGACGACGUUUUUUUACGUCGUUACCUUGUUGAAGGCAUUGCUUGGAUAGACUCACUGAUUCUUCAGGGUGAAAACCUAGAUGUUGGCCUUUUGGUUGGGUCCGGUGACGACGGCGCCCAAGUGUCGCUCCCUUCCUGAAGGCGUUGCUGUUGAAGAACCUCGUUGUCCAUAUGGUGUUAGGAGAUGGUUGGUGCAGAUAUGGUCAUAGUUGUAGUUUGCCGAUCACAAGUCUGAUCGCUUCGGGGUUUUUUCGUCGCCUUCACAUAGCUUUGGUCUUGUAUGACUUUGCUUGUUGUUGGUGUUGUGUGUGUGUGUGUAUGUGUGUGAGUUGGUGUAGGUUGUGUGCAUCCUAGCUAUGCAGAGGCCGGGUGCGUGCUCAUUGUGUUAUGUAUCUUCUUGAUGCUCCAUUUUGAGCGAAUAAAAUACACCCUUUAUAAAAAAAACAACGGCAGCUCGACAAAGCGAGGUUGACCCACCACUGCAGCGCCCUCGGGAAUUGACUCAAGAUGGCAAUGGGGCCCCGAAACCCGUGUCCCCGUGGGGUUUUACCCUAUUAAGGGACGGUGAUGGGCGUCUUUUUAACCCCACGGGGCUGCUGUUGGGUAAAGUAUAAAACCCGACACGUUUCACGGGUUCAACCCCGUCUCAACAAUACCCGAACCAGAAAUCCGCCAUCCCCGUCAAAAUAUACAAUAAGCAUAUUCGAGGAGUACAAUCUUGAGAGUGAUGAUGAUCAUGCACAGUCAUCUUGCUCAUUCUCUUCUUUGGAAGCUCCAGACCUUAUGUCAAUCUUCAGUGAACGUGUUACUCAGAAAUGGCCAACAUCUUUUAGGAUGAAAUCUGAGCUAGACCGUUACUUAGAAGAUGAGCUAAUUUCAUUGUCCAAAAAUAAAUUCAGUGUGUUAGAUUGGUGGAAAGUUGGUGGAACACACUAUCGAAACUUUGAGGAUGCUAGCAUGUGAUAUUUUUGCAACUCCGGGUAGCAUGAUUGCCGGUAGCAUGAUUGCCUUAGAAUCAGCAUUCAACACAAGUGGUAGAGUUCUAGUUCUAAGAGGUAGGGCUCUAGUCCUUAUGUUUGCUUGAAUAUGCCAAUUUCCUCGUGGGUUUAGAAAAUUCGAUGGGUUUAGGGGACGGGCAAAAAGCGAGCCUCGCGGACGGUGAAGGGGGCGGGGACGGGCUUGCGAUUUUCUCGUGGGGAUGGGUUUCGUCCCCCUUGCCAUCUUGAGAAACGACCCAGCACGAUACAAGGCUCCGAUCCGCCGCGAACCAAGCAGCACCUCCAAGAAGGAAUGCGACACCGAUGACGCUGCUACCAACGAGUCCUAGGGUUUCCCCCGACGCACGGAGGGGGAUAGGGGAUGGAUACCACCGACACCCUUCAGGAAGGACUGGCGGCACCCUCAAGCGUCGCCGCAUCGGAGCCAGAAGACCUGGCAAGUAUUUCUCCCGUACUCCAUACCACACCGCCCAACCGGACCGGAGCCAACCAGCCAACUCGCCGCCCACCAACAUGUGCCAUCGCGCUCGCGACGCCACCCACGCCGCCUCACUGAGAUCAUCACCACGAGGCCAAGAGGACUAGGAGAGAAGCGCCGGACGACGUGAGUAGCAGCACCGUAGCCGGGCGGAAGGGAACCACUUCCACCGCCGUCGUGCGGGAGGCCCGAGCCUCCGGCAACGUCGCAGUCGCCGUCCCAACGCGGCAGCAGGGCAUACCAUGCCACCCCUGGCCAGGCCAGGCCCGAAUCGGGCCCGCAAAGCCCCGCCGGCCACGCUGCAGCAGGGCGGGAGCAGCGCCGCCAGCACCCCACCGACCAACGUCGCUCCCCCACCUCCUGGAAGUAGCGUAGACCUACCCCGCCGUCAGCCCGCCCAGACCCAGAUGGGGCCGAAAGGGCCCAGAUCUACGCCUAGCGGGCGCCGCCAAGCCACACCACUGCGCCACCCCGCCACCAACGGCACCACCUCCGUCCAGCCGAUCUCCCGCGUCGCGCCAAGAAGCCCCGCCGCCGAGGAACACCCCCCGGAGUCGCUCCGUCCCGCGCCGAAGAGCACCCGAGAGGAGAAAGGCCGGGGGCCGCCGCCGCCAGCGUCGCCCCAGCCAGGCCCACCGGCGGGAAGGAAGGGGUGAGGGGAAGUUGUCAACUCCAUACGGACGAAUAUCUCACACAUGUGGUUGGAUAUCCGCGGACGCCUGCGGAGACGAAUACUGCGUACGAUUUGUGGCACCGCUCUUAUCAACAUCGUCCGGGCACCAUCCAUCGAGUCGAGGAAAGAAAAUGGUCGUCGUCUCCAACCGUCCCGUCCCGUUCUUCUUUCCUCCUCUUCCUCUCCCGAUCGGCCGAGCCCUCACUUCGUCACACACCAACCCGACCCACCACCGCGUGCCCUAGGGCUGACGCCUCCGCUCCCCACCCCCACGCGCCGCCAUCGCCGUUCCUCAUCGGCCGCGAUUUCUGGGCAUAUUUUGCGGUACGAUCUUCUUUCACCCAGUGAUUAGCUGAACCCCCUCCCCUCCCAUCUUUUUCGCGGAUGAUCGAUUGCGUUGCGGUGAAAUGAUUUGCCUUCACAAAUUCUCUCAAGUUUGGCUCGGCCACGCUCCACCUUUUUUAUUUCCAUUAUUACUGCGUCGGUUGAUUUUAACCAAAACUCUGCUUUGAUGCGAUAGAACUCUACUUUGACACCCCCGAAAAAGAAUGGCGAUUCGCUAUCUUAAUCUGUUCUUUCCGCUAUAGGCCGGAGAUAUGAAGCGAGAAGGCGUUCGCACCAGAAGCCAGACCAAAAAACAAAAGGCUUCCACAAGUAGCCAAGGUGAGCCACUGGUUGUUUCAGUCUCCCUACUUGUUCAUUCUUCUGCACAUACGAUUUCUACAGCUCUAUUUAAGAACUGUGUUGUGAUAUGAUGAUGCUUGCCUAACUAGGUAAUUCACUUCCAUUAUCACGCAAGUACGAUUCGUACAGCUCAAUUUCAUAAUUGUGUACUUGUGUUGUAUGAUAUGAUGCUUCUUAACUAGGAAAGUUGCUUCUGGACAAUCCUUUCGAAGAGGAAUUUGGCAGCUUAAGUGAUUCUGGUCAAGGUGUGUGGACCGAACUCAGUAAAGAAGUCGUCUCGAACUUAGCGGGCACUGUUGUACCGAUUGCUUCAUUCGAUGACGGUGAUUAUAAGCAUUAGCUUUGCGUCUUUUUAUCUAUAUACAUUCCUUGAUAGUUCAUGACUAGGAAUUUGGAAAUACGAUCUUGUGCAGGAAAUAAUACAUUUUUUUUUGCAUGCACGGGCAUAAUUACCGUGAACAAUCCAAAAACUACAAGCUUUCUAACUUCAUUAAGUUUGGUUAGAUCAAUCGAUGAUGACAGCAAGAUCUUUCACGAUAUGAGGGUUGGUACUGCCAGUUUGUUUUUGUUUUACACUAUUGCUUGCUUAUUUAACACCAUGGUAACCAUUCUGCUAACCAGGGCGUGUACUUGUUGUCUUGCUUUAUCAUUUCAGAUUGAAGUGCGCCUUCCAGAUAACAAAAUCGAACUUGGAUGGUUGCAAUUCUAUGAUUUGAAACACAAUGUUGCUGUUAUCAACAUCAUUCGCUAUCAUUCUCUUCAAGUUGCAUGUCUAGAUCAUCAGCCGCAAAUUGAAUUUCAGAGUAAAGUAGUUGCUGUAGGGCGUUGCUUCAACUCAGGAAAAUUAAUGGCCACAGCUGGGAUGUUGACUGACCAUCCAAGAGGAGCUUACCGCGAGGAGCUUGCCAUCUCCACAUGUGAAAUUACUAUGGUGCACCGUUGAUUCCUCACUUUCUGUACAUAGCGGAAAUAAAUAAAUGAAAUUGUGUCAUUAUAUGGGUGGUUUAAUUUUGUCAUUAUAUGCACUUGAACAAUUUUUUGAGGGCACCAAAAAUUAGUCCUGGUUUUCAAUUAUACAAACUUUGUUCAGCAUCCCUAAAUUUUUGUGCUUGGCUGAGUGUCACUUUAUUCUUUUCAUAGACUGGAGUUGGAGGGCCCCUUGUUGAUUUUAAUGGGGAUUUCAUUGGGAUGAACUUUUAUGCUGAGAAAGAGACUCCAUUCCUACCAAGGAGCACAAUUCGUGAACUCCUGUUGCAGUUCAGCAAAAUAAUUCCAUGGUGGUAUGUCCUCCAUACUUACUUAUGAACCAAAGAUUCUCUGUCUGGUUUAUAUAUCUCUUCCUCUUUUUUACCCUUGUUUACUCUCUCGUGCUUGAUCUUAUUAGUUUUUGUGCACAUGGGUUACUCAUUCUUAGGAAAAGUAAUAAUGGUGGAAAGCUUAACCAAUAUUGCACUUAAUACAAUAGCGGCUUCUUAUGACGUCAUACUGCAGCUAACAACAGGCAUUAUACAAAUUUCUCAUGUCGUUGAGCCGUUAAUUUGUUUAUUUACAAAGCAUUAUUUAAGGGUUAUUUGCAUUCUCAAAAAAUGUGCAGGCAUUUUGCAUUGACUAUGAAAUCACAUUGUUUAAUUUACAACAUGUGUUGUACAAGGCUAAGAGCAGUUAAAGCAUGAUCACAAAUUGGUAUGUAGUGAGGAGUCUAACAUGCUCAAUCACUAUAAUACUGAGCGAAUGAGAACUAUUAGCAGAGAAAUGCCUGGCCUGAUUUGCCAAUAAACUUCGCUGAGCACAUUCUAUUCUGGAUAAUGAUUAACAACAAACAACUAGUCUCAAAGGACAGUCACAGUGCUAGAAGCUCCCACACCAGGUGGGGUCUGGGGAAGGAUUAUACGAGGCAAGCCUUACCCCUGCACAGUGCAGUGUAGAGAGGUCGUGUCGAACCAGGACCUCACAAGUGGGGGAGUACUCACUAUUGCACCAGGCUGUCCUUCGGCAAACAACUAGUCUAACUGAAACAAUUCCUGGAUGACCGUAGGCCAUCUGUUCCACUUGUUGUGAAUCUAUUGUUCAACCUGGAAUUUCAAGGAAGCUGACCACACAUCAUCAUCAGUAGAGAUACAAAAUGAAUGAAAAGUACCUACAACAAUUCCGUAUAUCAGUAGCCGAGGUUGGAUGGUAACAUAUUUGAAACUGAAACAUGAGUUUACUACCAAUCAUGUUGAAUGUCAAACCAUUUUUGAAAUGCGUUAGCUUGUGCCAGUCAUGAGCAGUUUUGAUGUUUUUGUAGCUUCUAGAGUAUACUUGCAUCUGGUAGCUGGCCUGCAUUUGAGAACAUCCCCCUUGAUAACAAAUUGGUUGUUCGUGACAUCUGUCGCUGGAUAAAUUGUAGCGUGACCUUGACACAUAUCCAUACCACAUGUCUUGUCAGCAUGUCUCGCAGUUGCCCUGUACUCAAUUGGGACUCUGGUGUCCAUGUUAAAGCUAUUGUACUUGUUUAAAUGAUAAGGUAGUCAAAGUUCCUGGUAGGUAUGGUAUAAUAUUUUCUCCAUUUUAUCGUUUCUUCGUCGAAAUAUUUAGGCUUUAGGAUUUUUCCCAUUGUGUUGUUAUUUAGUGCAAUCUGACUCCAAUCCCUAAUUUGCCCCCUUUUGACAUUUGAGUGCAUGUAGUUGUUUGAUAUUCAUGCAUAGAUAUCAUCCAUGUUUUACUUGUGCGGAUUUCUCUAUUACUCCGAUGAGUUUUUAUCGCAUUCUGCUGCAGGGCUACAAGUAAAAAAAGACCUGAUAGUACAAUAAGGAAAUUUCCCAGACCUCACAAGUCUGAUUCACAAGGUGAGAAAAGAACUUCACUCCUUCAGAUUGCUAAAUUGUGCACAGUCAUCACUUCGUCAGGCAAUUCAUCACUGCCAUGCUAUAUGAGAACAGUCUUGCUAAGCCUCAAUCGACUGAGACAUAAUGAAGUCUCAGUCACUACUAUAUUCGUGAGAUCUUACAUUGAGAUUUGUGCAAUAUUUUCUUUUUAGUUUUUUUCCUUUUCUCUUUUGCAUGCUGUGUCACUUUUUUUGAACCGAUGACUGAGACUUGGUUAAAUCUUAGUCGAGUGAAACCUAGCCACACCCAUAUGAGAAUAUACUCCCCUUCAUACCGCUUUUCGGUUUUCUAAACUCAGCUUAUUUCCCUUCCCUAAUCUUCUCCAUUUUAGACAGCUCAAAGGGAGGAGAGAAAACUAAGGAUCGGAAACCUUCCAUAUGUACUCUCUGUGAUCCAGAAUGUCAUCCAGGUUGGGUCACUUUCAGUGUUAAUUAUUGAUCAUUGGUCAGUCAUUAAUUGUUUCACCCCUAUGGUACCAGGACUCGUGGAUAGAUUAUCAAAGUGGGCAUUCUUAUGUACUCGGUGGCCGAGAUAUCUUGAUUCUGGUGAGUCAUUGCUUUCAGUUUUCCUGAUCAUCAUUAUACAUGGGGUCAUCAGUCACUUUACUAUGUUGCAAAAUUCAGCUGAUGCUACAAAAAAGGAGCUGAGGUCCAGUGGUUAUCCAUUCCCGGUUUGGGAUGAUAGUGAGUUCAUUUGUGUCUUUUUUAUAUUUAUUACUCAUUCUGUUGAACACCUGACAUCAGGCUGGUGUCUCGAACACCCCUCACCUACUGAACCUUUAUUGCUGUGGUCAGCGGGCAUGCGGUUGCUUAAUAAUUUUGAAGAGGAAUUUAGUGAAGAUAUCUGGAGCGAACUUGAAAGAAGCGUUAAUUCAAAUAUGUCUCAAAGUGUUGUCACAUUGGCUUCAUUCAUUGGUAAUUUUAUUUUAUUCACUAUAAGCUCGUUUACUUUUGGUAUUCUCUUCCCAAUUUCAUCACUAAAUUAUGUGAAUCAUUACUCUUGUAGGAAGAAAAAGGUGUUUUGCUUGCACAGGCGUAUUCAUAGACUGCAAUGGGUCCACCACAAGGGUUCUAACCUCUGCAAGUUUGGUCAGGACUUCUGACGAUGAAAACACUGUUGCUGAUAACUUGAAGGUUGUUACUCCACUAAUAGUUGUUUAAUUACCCCUUUUAUUUAUUCAUUAUAACACUGGUUUAGUCCUACCGUAUCAUUUAUUGCAGAUUGUAGUGUGCCUUCCAGAUAAUCGACGUACCACAGGGACAUUGCAACAUUACAGUCUACAUUAUAACAUUGCUAUCGUCCACAUCAUGGGUUUCUGCUGUUCUCGGACAGCACAAAUCGAGGAUCAGAUGCAAAUGAAACCUCAGAUGAAGGUAGUAGCUGUAGGGCGUGGCUACAAAUCGGGUAAAUUCAUGGCCACAAGUGGGAUACUGAUCGACAAACCAAGUAAGCUUAAUUGCAAAGAGCUUAAGACCUCCACUUGUAAAAUCACCAAGGUACACUGUGUUUUCCGUAUGGUGGAAAUAAGUAGUUGCAUUAGAAUGAGUAAUUAAAUCCAUCACCACAUCUGUAUGGCUUACAAAUACCGUCUUUUCCUCUUUGUUACUUAUAUGUGUUUGUGCUAGGCUGGGAUUGGAGGGCCUCUUAUUGAUAAUUUUAUUGGCAUGAACUUCUAUGGCUUGGAAGAAACUCCAUACGUACCAGCGAAUAUAAUUUCAGAAGUCUUGAAGAAUUUCGAUGCACAAGGGUAUGCUUCCUGUAUUUAUGUAAUUUUGUGUACAAUAUGCAAAUGUCUUUCAUGUGCAUAAUAUUCAAGCUUGAAAGUUUACUUUCCUCGAUAGGACAUCUGUUACCAUUUUGAUCUUCUAUAACUGAUCACAUUAACUAGAACCUGGAAUAGAACUCUUGUGCAUCAGAUAAAUAACGUACGGUAAGACCAUCCUGUGGUUGUGCCUGACUGUUGAGCAUGUCAAAUCGUAGAUAUGCAAUAUAUGAAAGUAUUGUAUCGUAUGUCUCGUAGCAUCACCCUAACCUGGAAUUAUAAUGGCAAAAUCUGGGUCAAUUUUGGUUGUUGUUUUGAGGUUACUUUUUAUUUUGAACUCAUGCCAGUUUUCAAGUCUAAUCUUCUUUUGCGGUUGAACCAUUUUGCCUCUUGAUGUUCGGACAUAUGUAGCAGUAAACUGAUGUUGCAAUGGUUUUGAUCUUCUCUCUCGCGCGUGUGUGUUUGUUUAUAGCUAUUUAAAAUGUUCUUGUAAGUUAAAACUAUUUUCGGUCUGUUUGUAGGUCUGUUGCUGUCAACGAUGAUCAUAGCCCAAACAGGUAUUGUUUAUUUAUUAUUAUGCAUUCAAUAAGACCUUUUGCUAGAUAUAUACUCCAAACAAGGAGUAUUAUUUAGCAGCUUAUUCAUUUUACUCUUAACAGAUGGCCUGUGCCUAAGCCAUUUUGGUGCUAUCCGACAUGGCAUGAGCUUGAGGAAGAAGUAGAUCUGGAGAAAGAACUUAAAUACCAGCGGGAACUCUACUAAUGUGAUGAACUGUAUAUCGACGAAUGCGUGCCUAUCUUGCCCUCAAGCUGUUGACCCUGUAGCAAGUAUGAAGUGUUCUGUAACUUAAUUUGAACCCUGAAAUACUAGUGUACGCACGCCUCUCUUUAUGUGAUGGACUUGUAGAGUGGUCCCCGUAGAAAACUGAAGAGAGAGAAGGAGAGUGCAUGUGCCCAAUUUUCUUUUAUGUACUCCCAUUUGGAGCUUUCUUCACCUCACCAGCUACCAAAUGACAUCACCUGCUUUGGAUGAAAAUUUUGUGUGCUAUAGCCUGAGCUGAUGUGGCACUUAAGACCACCAGUAGGUGCUGCCCCCAUUGUACAUCCCCUAAGAACUCCUUUAUAGUUUUGACCCGAACAACGAUUGUUCAUAUACGUAGAUGAUGUGAUUGUCUUCCUAAUAGCCAAACACAAUGGUGUUGCUGCUGCUAGGCUUCUUCUGGAGAUUUUUGUUGUUCUUCGGGUUUGAAGUGCAACCAACGUAAAAAUGCUCUAUUUCCCCAAUCUUUUGUGAGGAGGACCUGAUUGGUGAAUUCGGAAGUUUGCUGAACUGUCAAACUGGCAAAGAGAAUUUUCAGUGUGGCCGUGUGUAUCUUUUGAUGCAUAGGCCCGGGGUUUCAACUGUCUUUUUCCAAAAGGAGAGAGAGAGAGAAUUUUCAAUGCUUAUUGAUAAAUUAAGAGAGAGAUUUGGGCCAUGGUGUACUGGUUUUUUGUACGAAAGUGGUCGUUUAAUCCUAGUCCAAGUCGCGUUGUCGGCCGUUUUGACUUUUCACUUAAUGUCACUUGACCCCUCCCUCCAUGGGUGUUUAGAUUGACAAGAUGCCUAGUGAGUUGGAAACAAAUUUGCUGGCCAAAAGAAAGUGGCGGACUAUGCAUUUUAGGGGACCUCUUAUCUCCCGCGGAACACACGUGAAACACGCACCCCUNNNNNNNNNNNNNNNNNNNNNNNNNNNNNNNNNNNNNNNNNNNNNNNNNNNNNNNNNNNNNNNNNNNNNNNNNNNNNNNNNNNNNNNNNNNNNNNNNNNNNNNNNNNNNNNNNNNNNNNNNNNNNNNNNNNNNNNNNNNNNNNNNNNNNNNNNNNNNNNNNNNNNNNNNNNNNNNNNNNNNNNNNNNNNNNNNNNNNNNNNNNNNNNNNNNNNNNNNNNNNNNNNNNNNNNNNNNNNNNNNNNNNNNNNNNNNNNNNNNNNNNNNNNNNNNNNNNNNNNNNNNNNAUGUUUCAUGAUUUUGAAGAAUGUUCGGAAUUCAUAAAUGUUCAUGGAUUAAAAAAAGUUCAUGAUUUUGGAAAUGUUCACAUUUUCAAAAAUAUUUAUUUGAUUUUUUAGCACGUGUGAAAAUAUAUAUUCAAAAACAUGUAUUUAAAAAAUAUUAUUCAUUUAUUUUAAAAGUAUUAAACAUAUAAAAAACUUUCAUAUGUAUACCAAAAAUGUACAACGCAUUUGAAAAAAAAGAUAUCAAAGCGUAUAUUUGGAAAAAAAUAAUCAUAUUUUUAAAAAAUGGUAAACGUGUACCAAAAGUUGUUCCUAAUGUUUUCAAUGUAUGUAGAAAAAUGUAGACAAGGAUUGAAAAAAAUUUAAACAAAGGAAAUAGAAAAAUAAAUAGACGAGGAAAAUCGGUGAAAAUUAAAGAAAGAAACAAAAAACAGAGGUAAAAAAUAAAAAUUAAUAAAAACCAAAGAAAACCAAUGCAAACUGUCAAAAACCGAUAUGGAAACCACAGGAAAACUAGGGCGGCAGCUACAGUACUGGGCCGGCCCGUGGCGCCGCGCAAGAGGCGAGCCAGAGCUACAUCUUGCAAUUAGCUAGAGUAUUUAACAUUUCUCAAAAAAAAAAGUAGAGUAUUUAACAAAAAACUACCACAAUUCGUGAAAUUGUGCAUAUAAACUACCACUUUACAAAUUUGUGCCGAAAAUUAUCAUUUUCUCACUAAUCCUUGACUAAAAACUACCAAGUCUAAAAAGAGCCCAAUUUAACUCUUUUAAACGCGUUUCUGACUAGUUGAGCCCACACAUAAGUGGGCUAAAAAGCAAUCGGGUCCCUAGAAUUUUUUCAAAAGAGCAAUCCAGUCCUGGUUGUGCCUGUGGCCGGCCCCCGGCCGUGGCCGUGGCAGCGGCCAAGCCGUGGCUGUGGCCAGCCAUGGCCCCCCGUGGGUGCGCGGCAGCCGUGAGCGGUGGCCGACUCCGAGCUAUGGCUGGUUGCCGUGGGCCUUGCCGCACGCCGGCCGACCUCGCCCACUCGCACCCUGCCAUGUUCGGCCGCGCCCGACCUCCUCUUCCACGCCCUGGGGCCUGCUCUGCGCGCGCACGCACCAUGACCGUCGCCGCGCGCUCCCGGUAGCGCGCGCGCCCAUGUCCUCCCACACCUGCGCCGCGCGCGCCCUCCCUCUCGCCCUGGCUGCGCCCAGCUCCCGCUCCGCCGCUCCCUGGCCAGCUCCUCGCCGCGGCCACGACCGGCUACAACCACGGCUUCUGGCUUGUCAACCCCUACGUCUUUGACUUCAGCGCGUCGUCAAGGAGGCCAGCAUUGGCGGCUACGAAACAGAGGCCAGCGUCAAGGAGCUGCAGCGCCCGACGCAGGAAGAUUACAGGAGAAGCUCAAUCAGAGCCAAGAGGAAGCGGGACGAGGCACAUGGAAGCAAGGACAAACCCGGCAACCCACUAAGAAGAAGAAAAGCAAGACAUACAAGAGCCCCAAGAAGCAGAAGAGGCGCCAUGUGGAAUCUAGAGGCAGCGACCCUCGGCGUGGCAAGGACCGGUGGUCGGCCGAGCGGUACGCGGCGGCGGAGAGGAGCCCGCUCGAGAUCAUGCGCUCCAGCGGCACCACCCUCGGCGCCCCGGUGAUGCGGCAGGCGCUGCAGGAGCAAGCCCGCAAGCGCAUUGGCGACACCGGCCUCCGGGGGCCGGCCACAACCACGGCUUGGCCGCUGCCACGGCCGGGGGCCGGCCACAGCCACAGCCAGGACUGGAUUGCUUUUUUGAAAAAAUUCUAGGGACUCGAUUGCUUUUUUAGCCCGCUUAUGUGUGGGCCCAACUUGUCCGAAACGCGUUUAAAAGAGCCAAAUUGUGCUCUUUUCAGACUUGGUAGUUUUUAGUUAAGGAUUAAUGAGAAAAUGGUAGUUUUCGGCACAAAUUUGUAAAGUGAUAGUUUGUAGGCACGGUUCCACGAAUUGUGAUAGUUUUUUGUUAAAUACUCCAAUAAGGUAUGAGCGAGUCUUUUCUUUUUCGUGCCAAACAAUGGGUACGUAAACAGAAUCAGUGAAGCAUCCAAUUCUGUAGUUCUGACAUAUAUGUUUCAGAGAAAUGGGAGCCACCAAUACCGGAGACUUGAAAAAUGAACUGUGAUGCAUGAUGCAUCCUUUAUAGCCAGUACGGGAGAGACUAAUAUUGGAGCCGUCACCAGAUACAACAGGGGAUAUGUUGUCCUGGCGACGGGCCAACGGAUGUCUGCAUGCAAUUCAACUGAAGAGGCCGAGCUAGCGGUUAUCCUUUGCAGUCUCUCUGAAUUAAAAAGGCUGCACAACAGUCCAAUCUGCAUGGAGACUGACUGUGCAUCCGUGGUUUCGCUGCUGAACAGUAAGGCAAAAAAUCAAUCAGCUCUCUUUCCCAUGAUUGUUGAUGUGAAAACCUUGCUAAGCAGCUUCAGUAAGGUAUCAAUCAGCUCGGUCAAGCGGAACAGAACAAGCUAGCACAUGAAUUGGCGGCUUAUACCAGAAGAAAUGGUAAUGUGUCCUGUGGGGCACUUAAGCUUAUCCUUCAUGAGGAUUGUAACUUCCCUUCAGGGGCACUUUAAUUAAAAGGGAAAAUUUUGUUUUUGCCACUCUAGAUUUUGUCAAUUUUUCUUAUGCCACUCUAGAUUUUGACAUUUCACUUUUGUCACUCUUAGAUUUUGACAAUUAUCACAAUUGCCAUUUUAUGGCAAAAGCAAAAUAAUUUUAUUUCAUUUUUGUCACUCUUAGUUUUUGACAAUUAUCACAAUUGCCACUCUGAAAAUUUUGCUUUUGCCACGGGAAUGGCAAUUGUGAUAAUUGUCAAAAAGUAAGAGUGGCAAAAGUGAAAUGUCAAAAUCUAGAGUGGCAUAAGGAAAAUUGGCAAAAUCUAGAGUGGCAAAAACAAAAUUUUCCCGGCAAAGCCUGGUUCUAAAAAACCAAAUAUAGUUCGAACAUAAGUAUUGUUCAAAGUGCAUAAUUGAUGAAAUUAAAGGCUUUGCCUGGUUCUAAAAAACCAAAUAUAGUUCGAACAUAAGUAUUGUUCAAAGUGCAUAAUUGAUAAAAUUAAAGGCUUUGCCUGGUUCUAAAAAACCAAAUAUAGUUCGAACAUAAGUAUUGGUCAAAGUGCAUAAUUGAUAAAAUUAAAGAUAAGUUUACUAAUUUGCAAUGUGCGUCCACAUAUACUCGACAAGAUCAUUCAGAAGUUGCAUAUGCAUCUGUUGAUCUCACAGUUGUUGAUACAUCUCCAGAAAGUUGGUAAUAGUCUGCCCCUUUUGUUCCGGGGGAGGACCUGAACACGGGGCUUCUCAAAAUCAUGCAUGCGCGCACUGCACCUUCACCCUCAUCGUCAACAAUCAUGUUGAAGAGAAUUACACAACAUGUCAUGAGCUGCCAAAGUGUUUCUGGUUCCCACAUCAUCGCAGCUCCACGAAUAAUACAUCGACGAGCUUGGAGCACUCCAAAUGCUCUCUCCACGUGACGAGUAACUAUAAACAAAAGGUGAGACAUGACGAGCAAGAUUUUUUUUUGACAGUGCAAGGCACGAGCUCUGCAAAUAUUAAGAUGAAAAAUGAAGAAAUAUAGAGUGAUCCAGAAGGGAUCUAUGCCAUAGACCACAAAGCCUGGUAAAAAGGAAAACUGAGAAACAAAAAGGCCAACAGAACACACGCAUGCGUGGGCGCGCGGGCAUACACACAAGAGCUUGGGGAUAAGGACCUAAUGUGUACACGAACCCAAAAACAAGGAAUGUCAUCUGAGACAGACACAAGAGCGUCAUAGCCCAUGACGAUAAGUUAAAGCUCAAGAGCAACCGAACUCACCACCACACCCUCGAACUGACUCAACCAAACCAAGCCCAUCCAUCGCCUAUGCAUCCAAACCUCAAGGACUAAGGGCAUCACCAACGUCGACCCUCAAAACGCCCAUAACCGUUCAGACCGCAUGGUUCGUAUGUCUAUACACUUCAUAUUGUAGCCGACAAUAAAAAUCACAUAAAAGAAUGAGAGCUUUCGGUGGGAUCACAGUUUUGCGUGCGUGUGCGUGUGCGUGUGUGUGUGUGCGCGCGCGCGCUAUUUGAUGGCCAUCCCAUUGUGGUGGCCAUCAUCAUCGCUUUGCCAGCUCGCCGCCCUGCCCUCCAAAAGACACCUCCAACACACUCUACCCCGCUCCCCGGGUGGUAGAGACAUCGCCUUAUUGCCUUGCGCCAACUAUCCUAACCGUGUUUCCUUAUGCUAUAUUUCCUUAUUUUCUUGUACAAUCAAUGCAAUGAUCACUCUGGUCUCAAGCCACUCAUAUAUUGAUUAUAUAUAUUCUCUGCGCAUAUGGAGCUAACUAAUGUUGCUAUGCGAUAUGGGAGUGAACACAUUGUUGUGGUGAUAUAAUAGAGUUAAUGCAAUACAUACAUCCUUUAAGUUAUGAUUGAAAGAUUUUUCUUAUAUGAAAUAUAUUAAUGGUUGACAGUCCAUGUUAAUCAUGAGACAUUCUAUUUUUGAUGGUAAAUUAGGGUUAUUUAUGCAACUUAUACCCCUGUUCCCCCAAAUACAAUAUGUUUUGUCAAUCCUUGAUGAAAUUAACGAGGGGCUAAGUAGGAACAUUGUUAACAAAUGUGUAUUGAAACUGUAGAUAAACUGCAUUUGGGUGAAGUUAAAAAUGCCAAGAGUACAUACUCACAUACUCAUGUCCAUCUAGUCGCUAAAAGAAAAACUUGGACGUGCUUACGCUAUCAACACGCAGGUACCAACUAUUUUUGUUCAGGCUUCAUUAGUCAUUACUUUUGAUUCGUCUACACGUACAUGAACCAAUGAGACACACAAUGAUAAAAUCGUUACUACAAAAAUUGCCGAAAAAGUUGGUUUACAAAGAUAUAAAAAUGUUUGAUUUCUUGCUUAUAUUAUUGGAAUCUCCAUUUCUUCUUGGAUCACUUCAAUGGCGUUUAUAAUUAACUAAAUGAGACAACAACAGUUGUUGUCGUCAUUGCAGAAGGCCCCAGGGACCGGCGGCAUGUCGCUGCCGCCACAGAACUUCUUGCACCGUUCAUCGGUGCAGUUUGGGAAGUGUUUGGAGUAGCACGAAGCCGGCAGGGGAAAAGCACGGGGUUUAUCCAUCUGCAUACGGGGCGUAAAGAAACGAACGAUUAAAAAAAUGUAUAGAUUAGAUAUCCAAUCUGAAAAAAAUUGUUUCAUCGUCUGGUCUCAAUCACGACAGUGCAAAUGGACCAGCCGGCUACGAGAAAGCGGCGCUUUGGUCUUUGAUUCUUGAGGGGCGCAGACGGCCCCGAUGUCUUGAAACGCCAUGGGGGGAUGAUGAGGCUACCCGUGGCUAAUUACUCCGACAGUAGUCCCCGAAACUGGUGGGGCGCCGCGACUAAAAGAGGCGUGGGGGUUCAGUAGCUUCCUACUCUGAGUGCUUCAUUGAUCUUGUUUCGUCCGUCUUCCGGAACGCCGACUGCCAGGAGCCGGACACGACCAGGCAGACUGCCUGGAGGUUUCUGAAACGUCGCGGCGGGAGCCAAGUGGCGCGUCAGCCAGGCGCCAGGCUCGUCGCCAGCUAUCUGCGCGCCACGUGGCACCAGCCGGCCAGGCCGCCUGCCAGCGAGUGAUGGGACAUUGCCGCAGGCCAGGGCCCACCACUACCGGGCCUCGGCACGCGCGUGGAUCCGCUGUGGUCGAGGCAGACGGUUGGGAUUCCGUGGCGUGAUUACUCCACGCCGUUACUGCGCGGUUAAUGCGGGGUCGUGGGGUCGUGGGCACAGUUAAUCCCACGAUCCCCACGCCCCGUCCCCUCGGCUUCACAGCACAGGGCUAUAAGUAGGGGAGGAGGGGAGCGGCUCUGGCUCGCGCGCCCUCCUCUCCCUUUGCUCCGCUCUUCCUCUUCUCUCUUUCUGCCGCCGCCGCACUCCCGCAACACGCUGAAGUGCCGCUGCGGCCCAUCGUCACCAAGCCCGGCCCUUCCGCCACGCCGUUGCUCUGUCAACCUCGAGCUUCCAUGGCGCGAGCGCGAGCCGGCGACUGAGACGGCUCAAAUGUCAUUGAAGACCACAUCACAUACCUCCGCAACAUGCGGCGGCUGCUCAGCGAGGGCUAUGUCAAGGCGCGCGUCCCGCUGGAGAAGGAGAUCUCGCCGGUGCCGGAAGAAGGCGAGCGCGUCAUCUUCCGCUCUCAUUUCCUUUAGGGCUUCCGCCUGCCGGCGAGCGGCUUCCUCCGCUCCUUUCUCCAAUUUUACCAUCUCCAGCCGCACCACCUCACACCGAAUACAGUGGUGCUGCUGUCGGCCUUCGUCACGCUGUGUGAAGGCUACCUCGGCGUUCUCCCCACACUCGAGCUGUAGGGGGAGUGCUUCUACACCAAACUUGGCGUCUCCGCCAAGGAAGAGGCGGCUCAGUCAUGGUACGGCGUCCGGGAGCCGGCAACCGCUUCCUGUCCAUCACCUUGACCCAGCCCGUCAAGUUGUGGCAGAAGUCGUACUUCUAUGUAAAGAAUGUUAACCCAGCGCUGGACUUCAUCAACCCGCCGGCUGAGCCGCGCACCAACUAGACCUUCAAGCCGAAGCAUCUGUCGGCCGCCUCCACUGCCGCCGUCGCCGGACUUAAGGAGAUGACGGACUUGGAGGGCCUCCAGGCGUCCGACUUGCUGACCGCCUUCGUGGUGCGCCGGGUUCUCCCUCUCCGGGGCCGGCCUCACAUAAUCAAUCAGAUGAGUGGGCACCGAGACCCGUGACGGCUGUCCACCCGGGAGAUGCCGGCCAUGGAGGUGGCCUGCAUGGUGAACGAGAACGCGAACCUUAAGCUCUCGGAGUCGGACUGGCAGUUCGGCAAGCGACCGUACUCCCGUGCGCAUCCGCCUCCUGCCGUAAGCUCCCGACUCUCCUUUCUUUCUUGUUUUUUUCUUCUUCUGCCGAGUUCUGCUUUGCCGACUGAUCAGUCGGACGUGUCACAGUUCCUCACGACCCAGCAGGCAGCCGACGCGGACGACCCCGACUUGGGGGCGGCCGCCUUGGAAGACGACGCCACAGGCGGUGGCGACAGGGUAGGCGGCUCCGGUGGAGGAGGCGGCGUCAAGACGUGACCGGAUGACGACGAGGAGGAGGCCGGGCCGUGCCGCCAGCCGACUGCCAACAGGGCGGGGCCACUCGCACCAGGCGGCGCAUCGAAGCGCCGAGCCGGUGCACAGCUGCAAGGCGGCCGACCGAAGAAGCCCAAGGGUCGGCUGCAGCGACCAGGCAGGAGGAGGCCGCCGUGAAGGUGACCCCGUUCCAAAGGGCCCCGAAGCAGCCGCCGACGGUGUCCGCGUAAGUGCUUAUUCUUCGUUGUGUUCUCUUUUGUCUUUUUUUGCAAACCUCCUCUGAGUUUGUCUCGUCUUGCUCGAAUCAGGGCCCCGCUCUCUCUUGAGCGGUCGACCUCCGCCUCCAUCAUUGGGGGGAUGGAGGGCUCCGCCAACACCUGCCGCAUAGACCUGCUCGCCAACCUUCGGGAGGCGGCGGAGAAGAACGCGCGGGAGGCGCGCGAGGAGAAAGAGCGGGCGGAGAAGGCAAAGGCGGAUGUGGCCAAGGCGGCGCAGGAGGAGGCGGACGCGGCGGCCAAGGUCCGGGAGGAGGAGGCGAUCAGGGCCCAGGCGGACGCGGCCGCCAAGGCGCUAGCAGGAGCAUCCGCUGGUGGCCAGGCUCCACAGCUGGUCAUUCCGCUGCGCUCCAUGUGGCCGGAGACAGAGAUCCCGACGCCGACUGGAGGAGCCGGCAACGACUAGUCGGUCAUGCGGAGGGAGGGAGGCGACGCCGCCAUCCCGAGGACGGAGGUGUCCCGGCAGACGCCGGCUGCCGAGGCUCGGGGCAGUCGGCCUGACGCGCCGUCAUCGCCUUGAGUUGGCAGCGAGCUGGUGGUGGGGGCGACUCCCGUCGUCCACACUCCAACGUGCCAGCGUUUGACAAGGGCGACUUCAGCGCCGCGGCCUCAGGAAGUCGGAGCCUCAAGCUCAUCGGCCCCAAAAACGGAGGCCAUGAUACGUCUCCAACGUAUCUAUAAUUUUUGAUUGCUCCAUGCUAUAUUAUCUUCUGUUUUGGACAUUAUUGGGCUUUAUUAUACACUUUAUAUUAUUUUUGGGACUAACCUAUUAACCGGAGGCCCAGCCCAGAAUUGCUGUUUUUUUUGCCUAUUUUAGAGUUUUGGCAGAAAAAGAAUAACAAACGGAUUCCAAACGGAAUGAAACCUUCGGGAACGUGAUUUUCGGAACGAACGUGAUCUAGAGGACUUGGACCCUACGUCAAGAAAGCUACCAGGAAGCCACAAGGUAGGGGGCGCGCCUACCCCUCCUGGGCGCGCCCUCCACCCUCGUGGGCCCCAUGUUGCUCCACCGACGUACUCCUUCCUCCUAUAUGUACCUACGUACCCCCAAACUACCAGAUACGGAGCCAAAAAUCUAAUUCCACCGCCGCAACCUUCUGUACCCGUGAGAUCCCAUCUUGGGGCUUGUUCCGGAGCUCCGCCGGAGGGGGCAUCGAUCACGGAGGGCUUCUACAUCAAUACCAUAGCCUCUCCGAUGAAGUGUGAGUAGUUUACCUCAGACCUUCGGGUCCAUAGUUAUUAGCUAGAUGGCUUCUUCUCUCUUUUUGGAUCUCAAUACAAUGUUCUCCCCCUCUCUUGUGGAGAUCUAUUCGAUGUAAUCUUCUUUUGUGGUGUGUUUGUUGAGACCGAUGAAUUGUGGGUUUAUGAUCAAGUUUAUCUAUGAACAACAUUUGAAUCUUCUGAAUUCUUUUAUGUAUGAUUGGUUAUCUUUGCAAGUCUCUUCGAAUUAUUAGUUUGGUUUGGCCUACUAGAUUGAUCUUUCUUGCAAUGGGAGAAGUGCUUAGCUAUGGAUUCAAUCUUGUGGUGUCCUUUCCCAGUGACAGUAGGGGCAGCAAGGCACGUAUAGUAUUGUUGCCAUCGAAGAUAACAAGAUGGGGUUUAUAUCAUAUUGCAUGAGUUUAUCCCUCUACAUCAUGUCAUCUUGCUUAAGGCUUACUCUGUUCUUAUGAACUUAAUACUCUAGAUGCAUGCUGGAUAGCGGUCGAUGUGUGGAGUAAUAGUAGUAGAUGCAGGCAGGAGUCGGUCUACUUGUCUCAGACGUGAUGCCUAUAUACAUGAUCAUACCUAGAUAUUCUCAUAACUAUGCUCAAUUAUGUCAAUUGCUCAACAGUAAUUUGUUCACCCACCGUAAAAUAAUUAUGCUCUUGAGAGAAGCCACUAGUAAAACCUAUGGCCCCCGGGUCUAUUUUCCAUCAUAUUAAUCUCCCGACAACAAGCUAUUUCUGGCUCCGUUUUUAUUUUUGCUUUCUUUACUUUGCAUCUUUAUCAUAAAAAUACCAAAAAUAUUAUCUUAUCAUAUCUAUCAGAUCUCACUCUCGUAAGUGACCGUGUAGGGAUUGACAACCCCUUAUCGCGUUGGUUGCGAGGAUUUAUUUGUUUGUGUAGGUGCGAGGGACUCGCGCGUAGCCUCCUACUGGAUUGAUACCUUGGUUCUCAAAAACUGAGGAAAAUACUUACGCUACUUUGCUGCAUCACCCUUUCCUCUUCAAGGGAAAACCAACGCAGUGCUCAAGAGGUAGCAGACCACUAGGGUCGUCCCGCGGCAGUGGACGUCUGGGGGCGGGACGGGCGUCCUGAACAAGGCUGCGCAGGAAGUCCACUCCCUGCUUUAGGCCCAGGGCGACGCCCUCCAGGACUACACGAAGAAGUUCUUGGCGUCGCGAGUUGCCGUCUGGGUAUGCUCCUUGUGCUUUGCUUUCAAUCUUUGCAAUCUUCCAUGGGGGCGCGCCAGCGCACCCACUAGGUGUAGCCCCCGAGUUCCGGGCCGGCUGCUGAGCAGGCGGCUCGGAACUUAAAGGUAAGUUCCGAGUGCCGACCCUUUCUUUUCUUCUAUUGAUUCUGUUGCAGGAUUACCACAACAUUCGAGCGGCCGCCUAUAACUCCCAAGCUUGGGAGCUGACCAAGCGGACCGCCGAGCUGACCGACAGCCAGAGUAAGCACUCCACUCUUCAUUCUCGCGGGGGGCGCCAGCGCACCCAUGGGGUGUAGCCCCCGAGAUUCGGGCCGACUGCUGAGUAGUUGGGUCGGAUCUUCUGGCAACUACUUGUUUCCUUGCUUCUUUCAUUGAAUUGCUCAAUCCUUAGUCUUGCGGGGGCACUCUAGCGCACCCGUAGGGUGUAGCCCCUGAGAUUCGGGCCGACUGCUGAGCAGUCGGGUCGGAUCUUCUAGCAACUACUUCUUUCCUUGUUGAUUUACUGACCUCUUCUCUCUCUUGUCUUCUGCAGGAGCCAAUGCCGCCUUGCGGCGGCAAAUGGGCGAAGCUCAAACCGCGUUGCACGCCAAGGAGGAGGAGCGCCUCAAGAUUGAGCAGGAGCGAGACCGUCUGGCCAAGCAGCUGGCUGACCAGGCGGACAAGCACCAAGCGGAGUUGCAGAAGCUCAAGGAUGCGGAGGAGGCCCUACAAGCCGAGUUCGAGACUCAGCGCUCGAACUGGGUCGAGAAGGAGAGGGCCCUGUCGGCCGACUUUGGCAAGGUCGAGGACAUGCUCGAUGGUAAGUUGCUCUUUUCCUUCUUCUUCCUCCUGGUUUGUCCUGCAAGUCGGCCUUCGACUUCUCACUUUUUUCUUCUUCCCUUGAGCAGAAUAUUUCCCUGGCUACUUUGUUGCCAUCAUUCAAGCCGUCGAGGCUCAUCGCGACGAGCGGAGGCUGGCUGGCGCGACAAUCGCGCCCAAUGCCCCUCGUACUCUUGUCGAGCAGAUGCUUGCCAUCCUGGAUCGUCUCCAGCCGGCGCAUCGGGCUCUCCGCACUUGCAAUGGCUAUGAUUUGUACGGUUGAUGUAUUAAGCAUGUUCGUGCCUUGUUUAUUUCAAUACUACACACUGUGUGAUGUUCAAAUAUUAUCGUGUUGAGCUCAAUUCACCAAUACCAGCAACAAACUUACAAUACAUGACUCAGGAUAUCACUAGAGAUGCUGCCCAUUUGCUAUUUUUAGUGGAUGCUAACCCUUUUGCACUUAACAUGCAUGUCCAUGUACUCACGCAGGGUCAUAACGACCGAUGCUUUUGUUUGCCGUCGAGGUGAGCUGCAUCCCGUGUCCUACAGUAUUUCACAUAAUUUGUGCAAUUGCAAUUUAACUUCUACCCAUUUACUGGUUGCCUGUAGGUACACAUGUUAGUGGCACUGGUCCACGCUUCGACCCGAAGGAACAGCUCGCCUCCGCCGUCGCUAACUUUGGGCGAGCUUUGGCCAAGAUGAAGUGCCCCAGCAACUACCUCUUAGGUCUUACCAAAUAUGUACUCACCAGUUCAAUCUUACCAAUACCAGUUGCAAUUAAUGGCUAUGUUCUGUACGGUCGAUGUAUUAAGCAUGUUCUAGUAAACAUGCCUAACACUUUUUUGCUACUUUUCCUACCUCUUUAUAGACAUCUGGGCCAUUCUCUGCUCUGGCAGCACCUGCCUUGUGAUGUUUAACUAAGCCAAUUGCAUUUUUAUCAGUACCGGUUUCGAUGUCUAUUAAGCCUAUUGCAAUUAACAGUUGAAUCCAUUUUUAAACAGUUGCAUUUCAAUGGCUACAAACUUACAAAACAUGACUUAGGAUGUUGUUAAGCCUGUUGCAAUUAACAGUUUUAUCCAUUUUUAAUCUGUCCAUUUGCUACCAUGCUACUCUCCACAAUGAAGAUAUACUAGAGAUGCUGCCCCAUUUGCUUUUUUUUGGUGGAUGCUAAUCCUGAAGUACUUAACAUGCUUGUCCAUGUACUUACGCAGGGUCAUAACGGCCGAUGAUGUUGUUUGCCGUCAAAGUUAGCUGCAUCCCAUGUCUUACAGUAUUUCACAUCAUUUGUGCAAUUGCAGUUUAAUUCUACCAUUUACUGGUUGCCUGUAGGUACACAUGUCAGUGGCACUGAUCCAUGCUUCGACCCGGAGGAACAGCUCGCCUCCGUCGCUGACUUUGGGCGGGCUCUAGCCAAGAUGAAGUGCCCCAACAGCUACCUCUCAAGACUUACCAAGUAUGUACCCACCAGUUCAAUCUUACCAAUACUAUUUGCAAUUAAUGGCUAUGUUUUGUAUUGUCGAUGUAUUAAGCAUGUUGUAGUAAACAUGCCUAACACGUUUGAGCUAUUUUCCCUACCUUUUUAUAGACAACUCGGCCAUUAUCUGCUCUGGUAGCACCUGCCCUGUGAUGUUUAACUCUACCAAUUGCAUUUUUAUCAGUACCGGUUUUAAUGGCCAUUAAGCCUGUUGCAAUUAACAGUUGUAUCCAUUUUUAAAGAGUUGUAUUUCAAUGGCUACAAACUUACAAAACAUGAAUUAGGAUGUUGUUAAGCCUGUUGCAAUUAACAGUUGUAUCCAUUUUUUAAUUCGUCCCUUUGCUACCAUGCUACUCUUUCGAAAUGAAGAUAUCACUACAGAUGCUGCUGUUUUAUUACCAUUUGCUAUUUUUGGUGGAUGUUAACCCCGUUGUAGUUAACAUUGGCUUUCCAUGUACUUACACAGGGCUACAAUGGGCGAUGAUGUUGUUUGCCGUCGAGGUUAGCUGCAUCCCAUGUCUUAUACACCAUCUAUUCCUAAAUAUAAGUAUUUUUAGAGAUUCCAAUAUAGACUACAUAAGGAGCAAAAUGAGUGAAUCUAGAUUCUAAUGUAAACUAUAUCUAUAAUUCUAUAUACAUCCGUAUGUAGUUCAUAUCGAAAUCUCAAAAAAAAUGUACUUAGGAACAUAGGUAGUUGUAUUUUACAUCAUUUGUGCAAUCUCAGUUUAGCCUAUAACAUUUACUGGUUGCUUGUAGGUACAUAUAUGAGGGGUAUUGAUCCACGCUUUGAUCCCUUUUGCUUAUGGGGCAAUGAGAUAUUCAUGAACAAGCAUCAAGUGAGGAAACUAAUAAAGAUUGUUAGGCGAAAGAAACGAGUGAUUGGAAUUAAGCUCUUUAUUUACACUUUGUCGAAGACAAGAGUGAACUUUAGGAUGGUAAGUAAUGUGUUGCCUUUUCUCCCUGCCCACAACAAGUUACUCUAUUAGACCUCAGUAUCUGAUAUUUUUCUCUUUUCAGUGGUUUCCGAAGCUAUUUACCGAUGAUUACCUUGCAAACUACAUGACCGGAGUGGAGGCAACUAAGGUUAAAGUAUAUAAUUCAUGCUACCAUGAUAAUGCUUUAGAAGUCUUCCUGAAGGCGGUGAAGGAUGGGCGGGCGAUCGUCACAAGGGGUUGGACAAAAGUGGUUCGUUCCUAUGGCAUGCAGGAAGGCACAUGAUGACCCACAAGUAUAGGGGAUCUAUCGUAGUCACUACAAGAAAUAUGUCAACUUGUGACCUUGACUAUUGGUCACCGAAAGGUCAUUGUUUUUCAUUUGUGACCUUUUUGUGACCAAAAACAGAAGGUCAAAAGCUGGCGGUCGUAAACUAAAAUUAACGACCUUCUCUGUGAGAAGGUCGUAGACGUUUACGACCAAAAUAUGCCUAUUGUUUUGUUUUGGUCACUAGCAACCUCCCCAGGCCACGUAGGCAUCCAGUGUGGCAAGCUGAUAUGGCACAAGAUUCAGCCCGGUCCAAUUCGGUAUUCUACAUGGCCUAGCCCAUUAAUUCAGCCUAUUAGUGUUUUUUUCUCAUAUUAAUUUUGGCUAGGUAGAUGGGCCAAGCCCAACAAUUAAGCCUUCUCAUUUUUGGGCCAUGGCCUUUUCCGCUAGAAAGUUUUAGUUUUUUUGUAAUAUAAAAAAGGUCCACUAGUCAAAUGGGUCCCAGAUGUCAGGUUCAGGUACAUGGGUCCCAGCUAGCAAGUUCAUAUUCUUCAUGUUCCAAUUUAACAGUAAAUAAAUAACCAGUAUUUAAAUUGGCACAAACAAAAAACACACUUAAUACUCCAAAUAUUAUCAGCCAGAUUCAGUACAGAGCUCCUAUUGUACAAAUAACAUAUACUUUACAAGCUCUACACAUAAUAAGCUCUAACAUAUACAAGCUCUACUUGUGAUACUCCAAACAUUCUCCAGAAGCUCUACAAGUAUGGCAAUCACAGUUACAAGCUCCACAUGUGAUACAGUUACAAGCUAUGUUCUUCAGCAUGGAGCUCCUUCAAUAACAAUCACAAAGUAGGCACCUACUCCUGUCAGGACUGGGCCAACAGAACGGUGAUAUGCCUUCCACGGUCACCCUGAUACAUGAAUCAACAGAGAAGAAUUAGGAAAACUGGAGCCAAUAUAGCAAGAAGAGACCAUUCAAAAAAUGACAGCUAUUUAUAUUAGAAUGACGACACAAAUUCAGCUAGUACCAUGAUUUUUGUUCUCCAGCUAGUUAAAAUGAGAUACUCAUUCAUACAAGAAAACAGAGAAAAAUAUGAAUAUGUAUUGCACAAGUGCGAGUCGUGCAAAAAACUUCACUACACCAAAUUGCACCUAAACAAUAAUACCAUUCUACUACCACAACCAUCCAUUCAACAGGCAAGAUCAAACAUUACUAGUCAGAGUACGUAGGCUUAGCAUCACUAACAUCACAAAUACACGAGAGAAUAAAGGGAACCAAGAGAGAUACCUAAGGAUGAUAGCAUCGUGAUGAUUUGGAUUGAGUUAGCAUCUGUGAGGAGGUGAAUUAUCACCAUGGUGUGCUUGAUG
rnacentral:lncRNA from 1 species